AAAUUCACAUGACUACUUAUAGCAAGACUUUUCCCAUGUCCUCAGGAACAAACGUAAGUACUCACAAAUCAUAUUCAUGUUCAUAAUCAUAGGGGUAUUAAUAUGCAUAAAGGAUCUGAACAUAUGAUCUUCCACCAAAUAAACCAACUAGCAUCAACUACAAGGAGUAAUCAACACUACUAGCAACCCACAGGUACCAAUCUGAGGUUUUGGGACAAAGAUUGGAUACAAGAGAUGAACUAGGGUUUGAGAGGAGAUGGUGCUAGUGAAGAUGUUGAUGGAGAUUGACCCCUCCCGAUGAGAGGAUCGAUGGUGAUCACGAUGGUGAUGAUUUCCCCCUCCCGGAGGGAUGUUUCCCCGGCAAAACAGCUCCGCCGGAGCCCUAGAUUGGUUUCGCCAGGUUCCGCCUCGUGGCGGCGGUGCCUCGUCCCGAAAGCUUGCCCCUUAUUUUUCUUCGGACGGAAGACUUCAUAUAGCAGAAGAUGGCCACCGGAGGCCUGCCAGGGGCCCACGAGGCAGGGGGCACGCCCAGGGGGUAGGGCACGCCCCCCACCGUCGUGGAUGGUGGGUGGCCCCCCUCUGGUUGAUUCUUUUGCCAGUAUUUUUUAUUAAUUCCAAAAACUACCUCCGUGAAGUUUCAGGACUUUUGGAGCUAUGCAGAAUAGGUCUCUAAUAUUUGCUCCUUUUCCAACCCAGAAUUCCAGCUGCCGGCAUUCUCCCUCUUCAUGUAAACCUUGUAAAAUAAGAGAGAAUAGGCAUAAGUAUUGUGACAUAACAUGUAAUAACAGCCCAUAAUGCAAUAAAUAUUGAUAUAAAAGCAUGAUGCAAAAUGGACGUAUCAACUCCCCCAAGCUUAGACCUCGUUUGUCCUCGAGUGGAAGCCGAUAACGAAAAAUGUGUCCACAUGUUUAGAGAUAGAGGUGUCGAUAAAAUAAAAUACGGACAUGAGGGCAUCAUGAUCAUUCUUAUAUCAGCAACACAUAUAUAUAUUGUCAUAUGAUUUCUUAUGCUAAAGUAACAAUCUAUUCACAAUGUAAAGUAUGAAUCAGAAACUUCAUUGAAAACUAACAAACUAUGAUCUCGGUCAUUGAGGCAAUUGCAAUUUUUCAUAACAUAGGAAAGAGUCAAUAUAAGAGCUUUUCAGCAAGUUCACAUACUCAACUAUCAUUUAGUCUUUCACAAUUGCUAACACUCACGCAAUACUUAUGGGUAUGGAGUUUUAGUCAGACACAGAGAAAGAUAGGGGCUUAUAGUGUUGCCUCCCAACCUUUUAUGUGGCACCCCGAUCCGCAUGGAGCAGGGGCCUUCGCACGUCAGCCCAGUAUAACACCUGACGCACGACAGGUCCAUAAUACAGCAUUCCAGGUACAAUAAUAUUCAUCAAAUACAUGUAUAUGAGAUUACAUCCUUGAUGAAUACAACCAUCUGGCAUAGCCCUACGACUAUUUGAAUGGCAGCGGAAGUCUAUUAAAAAGGCGGCGGAAGUCUUGGUUUGGCAGCAUAACAACUCUGGCUGGGCUCCACAACUCACAGGACUGGCAAGAUUACGGCCUAGCACGACGGAUCAAGCGAGCAAUACGGGUACGACCUACAAAACUGGCAUGACACGCCAGGUCAGUACAUUGAAUGUACUUGCAAGACAACCAAAUACAUAGUAUCCAAACAAGCUAAAGACAAAGCGAGAACCGAGCGCAUGCAACAGCCUAUCUCAUAUCAAUUACUAAACAUGGCACGAUAAAAAUCAACUAAGCAUGAACAAAAUCAUAGCAUCUACUAACAUGGCAAUGACAUGGCAUAUCAAAACAUGAUUAUAACAUGGCAAUGGCAAAACAUAGCAUAUCAUCUCAAUCAUGGCAUAAUUUAACAUAUAAAUCAAAGCAUGGCAUGGCAUCAUGAAACUAUGCUGAAAAUAAGCUACUGAUCAUAUCCGAUGCAGACAUAACAGGUUAACUAUAUGCAACCAUCUUCUGUUCUAUCAUGGUUCUUUAAAUGCAAAUAAUGAUAUAUUACUCAUGCAAUGCAACCAAACUUGUGCACCGAGUCCCUCGGACUCUCUUAUCAACUGUGAUCAUCUCUGGAUCACAAACACACCACCAAAGUGGUCUUUCUCAAGAACAACUCGUGAUCCUUACGGCGAUCACAACCACUUAUCUCAUCAUCAAAAUAUCGUCGUGACUCCUCACGACUAUCUCAUAGUUCAAGUUACCAUAUUCUUGUUAUCACAUAUUUAUUUACCAACUUAAUUAUUUCGGUUUGCCCUCCAUUUCGACCAAGACCUGAUAGUGGGAUCUACUACGAACUGUGUUGCUAUCGAUAGACUUUAUAUACACUCUGCAGAGGUAGCACACUGUACCGACACCACGGAACCCAUGGCCUCGUCAUCCCAUUCGGGUGGACCAACGGCAUUCCGACGAAACCAACCUACUGCCAUGACGCUCUCCCGGCCACUCCGACCCAAUCCCCAACGGGCUGGUCCUGGGUGGCCCCGUGUCUACCAAAGACACCCCGACCACCGUCGUGGUCAACUCCCACUCGGGGACUGGUACCAAAAAUCUCAAAAACGAGCACACAAGGUUAUGUCUGCUUACCUGAUCAGGGUAAGCACGCCCAUAACCUUCCCUAGUUGGAGGCACCGACGAGAGGCACGACAAUAGAUCGCAUUAAGGCCUUCCCAAAAAGGCAAAUGUGGCUGCACUAAAAAAGUUCGGUUUGGCGGCACUAUGACUCGAUCCCAUCGAUGACAGAGGAGGUUUGUUAUUAUUAAGUCAUUUUAUUUCCUUCUCCAUCAUCAUGAACAUAUUUAACAUGAGUGCAACAUGUCGCAUACAAAUGCACGAACAAAAUAUUGAACUCCUCAAGUGCACAACUAUAACAUAAAGGACACGACAAUAGUAUAUCAACGGUGCAUUACAAUCCUCAUAACAGUUUAUAACGAUGACAUGCAAAUAAAGUAGAGUAGUGGCAUGGCAUUAUUAAUAAUAACAUUCUAAUUAACAUGGCAAAGGUAUCAUGAAACACAAGCAUGCAAGAUAGGCAUAAAGAAAUAACUGCCGAUGAAAACGAUAUAAAACUGCAACUACACACACACAAGGUGCAAGCAAAGUCAACAUGCAAGUUCAGGGCUCAUGAUAAGAGGUUGGCUUGCCUGGGGGUCGACAAAUACUCCGGGAAGAAGUGUGAAACGAUCGCAAAAAGAUUUGCCGGAAACAGUUCUCUCUCGGAGGGGGCUGUUUACGGGCAAGGGCAAAAUGGUCAUUUUCACUGGGUGAAAAUAUUAUGAAAAUGAUAUCAACGGAACAGGCUCGACGAAACAAAGACGUGGGCUUUGGAAUCACCUGAUUCGGAGCUACGGGUAAAAAGAUACGGACGUUUAAAGCUCAGGGACUAGUCUGUAAAAAUACUUCUACAAACAGGUCCCUGGUAGUUUAAACAGAACGUGUCUUUUCUGAAAAUACAUUUUCCAGAGAGGGAAACGUAUUCCCGGCCGAAGGAGAGGAAAAAUGCGCUUUCUGAGAUUGAAAGCGCACUUUCCAGAAAUGCGCUUUCGCGCGGGGAAAGCGGCGUCGCGGCGGGGGCGCCGCCAAUUAUCUGACGUGGCACUCGGCCCGGCCAUUCGGUCGCCGACAGGUGAGGCCGCGCGGGAAAGGGCCCGCCUGGCCCUGGCGUCUUCUACCUCCUGCUCGGGAGCGAGCGAGGCCGAGGGAGGAGAUCGCCCCGACGAGGAUCGCCGGCGACUCCGGCCACGGCAGGCGACGGGCGACCUACCCACGGGUUCAGGGGGAGGAGGCGCACCCCGGGGUAGUCUCCGUUGCUGGCGACGAGCACAGGGGAGGGAGCCACCCGGCCCGCGGCGGAGAGGGGCUUCGGCCUCCGGUGGACACGGGGCUCCGAUGAGGGGAAUGGAGGGGCGGCGGACUAGGGAGGGUCGCAGGGAUGUGGCGCAUCCAUCCAUGAUGCGAACGGGGCUCGGGGAAGCUCGGGGGUGGUAUAGGGCGGCGGAGCAGAGUGGCAGGCUCGCCGGAAAUCCGAGCACUCCGGCGAGGGAUUCGGUCGGGCUCCGGUUCUGGAGUGCUUUGGAGGGAGGGGGAAAGGGUUGGCUUGCUCGGAGAAGGCUCAGGCUGGCUAUUUAUAGCCGGGGCAAGGAGAGGAGGAGGUGGCACGCGGCGGGCGACGUGUCCGCGCGUCGGUGACGGCGCAGUGUCGGCAGGCGCGGCCAAGGCCCACGGGAAGCGGCGGGAAGGCGGCGGGGAGGAUCAAGACGAGCAGCGGAGGCUCACGGAGACGAGCAAGGCUCGAGGACAAGAGGAGGAAGCGGACACCGGCGAGGAAGAGGACAAGCUCACGGGCACGCACUGUUCGAGCGUUGGCACGGCUCGCCGGAGAAGAAAACGAAGGGGGCCAGAGGUCCAGAGGGAAGAGGACGUCGAGGGGGAACUGCUGGGCAUUAAUGGCGAGGCCAGAGCCGGUCGGAGCAGCGAUGCCGACGCGAACAGUGGCUAGACCACCGUUUUGGCUGGCUGGCCACGUAGUCACCACUGGCAUGGCGCGCUCUGGGGUUUUUACUGAUGUAAGUUCAUGUCUACCGCGAAGUCCUUCCAGAGUGGAGUAUUACCAUGGUCAAAGAUCGGGCAGAGACAAAUGGAGAUGAGUGAAACAAGCUCCACAAGUUUGCUGUUGCAAACUUGGCAACAUCCUAGAGAUUAAACCAGAGAGGGUAAAAGGUAAAAUGGUUGUCUGGGAGGCUUAGGGUAGAAAGGACUACGGCCCUGGGAGUUUUGAGGUAAAAUGGACAACUAUUUACCAUAGUUGCUGUACAACCACCAAAACUGACCCAGAAACUUAAUCAUGAUGAAACACUCACUAGGAGUGAUGGAUUGGGCUAUAACUGGGCAAAGCCUGAUGAUUUGAACAUAACAUGAUGCCGUAAAAAGUUCAUACCAAAUGGACUCACCAAAAUGGUACUUCCUUCACAGCUAUCAUUUCUGUCCAAAAACUUCAGAAAAAUCCUCAGGGCAAUUGGUCAAGUGAAAUGAGCGACAAUCUUGUGGAGAUAGGUUAUAUGAGUAGGAGAAGGCCCGGAAAAAUUAUCAUCCAUAAUGGAGCAAGAUAAAAUACACUUGCUUCACAAACUGAAAAUUUGGACAGAAAACAAGAGUUGCUCCUGUGCUCACAUAGUUCAAUUAAAUGAACUGAAUUUGGGUGGAGGAUAAUUAUUUGAGAUACUUGAGAGGAUGGAAAAGUUUCAUCCCAUUUGGAAACACUAUGAAGGUACUUCCUUCACAAACUUGUGUUCUGGUCAGAAACUUUGAAAAAUUGCACAGGGAGCUAGGGUGAAUGGAUUGAGCUCAUCUUUGGUAUCCAUGGGUUAUUUAACAAUUUUAAACACCCUGCCAAAUUGCAGCUCAAUUGGACUUAGCAAUAAAGCACUUCCUUUGCAAAAUUUCAGAGAAGGCAGAAACUUGCAUUGGAUCAUGUGCCAAAUUUUGAACUGUGGAAUCAUGAUAUUAGGAUGGAACUAGUGAUUAUAUAGCAAGGACAAGCUCCACAAUUUAUGUGGGAAUUUUAUCUUCUAUAAAAAUAGUAGUUCCUUUGGAAAUUGGCAGAAAUGCAAUAUUGGCAUUAAAUAGGAAAAGGCAAUUUUCCUUAUUUAAUUAUGGCCAAUAUACUUGCCAGAGCUUGGAUUAGGCAUAAGCAUCAACUCCACCAAUUCUCAUGAAUUUAGGAGAUGGCUAGAUAUGCCUUUGGAUUUUAUUCCUUAGAAAGGCAAGAAAAGGAAUAAAUCAUAAUUCAAAAAUAUUGCAUUGGACUUAGCAAUAUUUUUGCAUAUCCAAGGUUAAGAAAGAUAGGAUGAUCUCUGGGAUCAAUUGGGAGGAUCAACAAAACAAGGAAAAUGGUGGCUCUUUUGUAAUCACAAGGGCAUAUCCAAAUUCCAAAAAUUUGGAAUUAGGGUUUAAGAGGGUUUGAGAGGAUUUGAGCUGAUGCAAAUGAGGUCUUGCCCACUGAAAAAGACAUGAGCAAGGUUUUGACAGGUUGGAAAUGACAAAAUUUCUCAGAGUCAUCCAGCAAACUCAGGAGAAAGAUUUUGAAAGUGAGUGCCAGGAAGGAAUAACAGCACAAAAAUUGAUAACCCAAUUUUGGGGCUGUUACAUUUUACCUCAAGGGUAAUGUCAACAAUAAUAGUUUAUGAUAACUUACAUCCAAUUGGAUAUAUAUAUAUCAGGAUCUUUCCAACACAAUGUGCUUGCUAAAGGAUAAAAUGUAAAAAGGAAAGGUGAAGAUCACCAUGACCCUUGCAUAAGGUAUAAGACAAGAAUAAAAGAUAGGCCCUUCGCAGAGGGAAGCAGAGGUUGUCAUGUGCCUUUAUGGUUGGAUGCACAAAAUCGGAAUGCGAAAGAACGUCACUUUAUAUUGCCACUUGUGAUAUGGACCUUUAUUAUGUAGUCCGUCGCUUUUAUUGCUUCCAUAUCACAAGAUCGUAUAAAGCUUAUUUUCUCCACACUAAUAAAUCAUACAUAUUUAAAGAGCAACUUUUAUUGCAUGCAACAAUGACAACUUACUUGAAGGAUCUUACUGAAUCCAUAGGUAGGUAUGGUGGACACUCAUGGCAAAACUGGGUUUAAGGAUAUUGGAAGCACAAGUAGUAUCUCUACUUGGUGCAAAGAAUUUGGCUAGCAUGAGAGGGAAAGGCAAGCUCAACAUGUUGGAUGAUCCAUGACAAUAUAUUUUAUUUCGGAUAUAAGAAAACAUAACCCAUUACGUUGUCUUCCUUGUCCAACAUCAACUUUUUAGCAUGUCAUAUUUUAAUGAGUGCUCACAAUCAUAAAAGAUGUCCAAGAUAGUAUAUUUAUAUGUGAAAACCUCUCUUUCUUUAUUACUUCCUAUUAAUUGCAACGAUGACCAAAACUACGUUUGUCAACUCUCAACAACUUUUAUUCAUCAUACUCUUUUAUAUGUGAAGUCAUUACUCUCCAUAAUAUCAAUAUGAUCUCUUUUAUUUCUUUUUAUUCUUUCUUUUAUUCCCUCAAGAUCAUAGUAAGAUAAUCAAUCCCUUGACUCAAAACUAAUCUUUAUAUUAUAUAGCUCACGGACUCGAUUACAAAGAGGGAUCAUAAAGCAAAACUCAAAACUAGAUCAUACUAAAACUUUAUUCUACUAGAUCAAGAUAUUACCAAAAGGAUCGAACUAACAAAAAUGGUAAAGAUAGGAGUGUGAUGUGAUACGAUACCGGGGCACCUCCCCAAGCUUGGCAGUUGCCAAGGGGAGUGCCCAUACCAGAUACUCAGUUCUCCUUUGGGGUGGUGAUGGAGUUGUUGAUGAUGUAGGCUUGUCGUCCAUCUUCCAGGGCAUAAGCUCACCAUCGAAAAAUGAUGAUCGAGUCUCCGGGAUCCUCAAAUCUGCAGCCAAACUCAUCCUCUUGAAUCUAUAUUCAUACUCACAGUUUUGGUUUUGCAGGUCAUAGAUCUGGGCUUGGAGGCACUCAAUUUUCUCGUGAAGCUUGAAGAUGGCCUCCCCAAUGUUCUUGGCAUCCAGCUUGUGGUUGUUGGUGAACUCCAUGAUCAUUAUGUGAUUGGCGUCAAGUCCACGUUCCACCAUCUCCUGGCACUUGAAAACUUGUUGCUCCAUUGCUUCGAGCCUUGUCUCCGCGCUUCCGGUCCUCCUUGGUCCCUCAACAUCGCGGAUGUGAAACAACCCCUCACGCAUCUCAAUGGUUUGAGGAUGUUGCAGCACUUCCGCGAGGUAGGGGUUGAUGACCUUCUCGAAGAACUUGUCCUUGGGGGCACUUGGAGACGUCAUGGUGAUCUAGAUCUGUCGGAAAAAUAGCUCGAAACAAAAACAAAGGAUAUUUGCGUGAUACGGAGGUAAAAACCUUCGGGAGAUUAUAUAAUGAAUUUUUACCGACCAAAAGAAGUAUCCUGCAAGAAAACAUAGUCCGGAGGGCACACGAGAUGCCCACGAGGCAGGGGGCGCGCCCAGGGGGUAGGGCGCACCCUUCACCCUCGUGGAUGCCUCGUGUCUCCUUCGGACUACUUCUUAUUUUCCUAUUUUCUUAAAUAUUCCAAAACAGAGAAAAUUGCCAUUAGAACUGUUUUGGAGUCGGUUUACUUACCGUCCCACAUACCUAUUCCUUUUCGGAGUCUGAAAUGUUCUGGAAAGUGUCCCUUAUGUAUUCCUCAGGGGUUACGGUUUCAAUAACAUUAGUUUCAACAUUUAUGGGAUUACCUGAGAUAUAAUGUUUGAUUCUUUAACCAUUCACCACCUUCGGAUUUGUGCCUUCGAAGUUGUUGAUUUUUAUGGCACCGGAAUGAUAGACCUCCUCGAUAACGUAAGGACCUUCCCAUUUAGAGAGAAGCUUUCCUGCAAAAAAAUCUUAAACGAGAGUUGCAUAUCAAAACAUAGUCACCUACAUUAAACUCACGCUUUUGUAUCCUUUUGUCAUGCCAUCUUUUAACUUUUUCUUUAAACAGUUUGGAAUUCUCAUAGGCUUGGGUUCUCCAUUCAUCAAGCGAGCUAAUGUCAAAUAGUCUCUUCUCACCGGCAAGUUUGAAUCAUAAUUGAGCUCUUUAAUGGCCCAAUAUGCUUUAUGUUCUAGUUCGAGAGGUAAAUGACAUGAUUUUCCAUAAACCAUUUUAUACGGAGACAUACCCAUAGGAUUUUUAUAUGCAGUUCUAUAGGCCCAUAAUGCAUCCUCAAGUUUCUUAGACCAAUUCUUUCUAGAUCUAUUAACAGUCUUUUGCAAAAUUAAUUUGAUCUCUCUAUUACUCAAUUCUACUUGACCACUAUACUGUGGGUGAUAUGGAGAUGCAAUUCUAUGAUUCACAUCAUACUUAGCAAGCAUUUUACCAAAUGCACCAUGAAUAAAAUGUGAACCACCAUCAGUCAUUAAGUAUCUAGGGACUCCAAACCUUGGAAAAAUAACUUCUUUAAGCAUCUUAAUAGAGGUGUUAUGAUCAGCACUACUAGUUGGAAUAGCUUCUACCCACUUAGUAACGUAAUCAACAACCACUAAAAUAUGUGUAUACCCAUUAGAGGAAGGAAACGGUCCCAUAUAAUCAAAGCCCCAAACAUCAAAUGGUUAAAUAACGAGUGAAUAGUUCAUAGGCAUUUCUUGAGGUCUGCUAAUAUUACCAAUUCUUUGACAUUCAUCACAAGACAAGACAAACUUACGGGCAUCUUUGCAAAGAGUAGGCCAAUAAAAACCGGAUUGCAAUACCUUAUGCGCAGUUCUAUCUCCAGCGUGGUGUCCUCCAUAAGCUUCAGAGUGACACUUGCGUAGGAUCUGUUCCUGUUCAUGCUCAGGUACACAACGUAUAAUAACACCAUAUACUCCUUCUUUAUAAAGGUGUGGGUCAUCCCAGAAGUAAUGUCUUAAAUCAUAGAAAAACUUUUUCUUUUGUUGGUAUGUGAAACUAGGUGGUAUAAAUUUAGCAACAAUGUAAUUAGCAUAAUCAGCAUACCAUGGAGCAGUACGAGAAGCAUUUAUAACAGCUAAUUGUUCAUCAGGAAAGCUAUCAUCAAUAGGUAGUGGGUCAUCAAGAACAUUUUCUAACCUAGACAAGUUGUCUGCAACGGGGUUCUCGGCUCCCUUUCUAUCAAUAAUAUGCAAAUCAAAUUCUUGUAGCAAGAGAACCCAUCUAAUAAGUCUAGGUUUAGCAUCUAUCUUUUCCAUAAGAUAUUUAAUAGCAGCAUGAUCAGUGUGAACAGUCACUUUAGAAUCAACAAUAUAAGGUUUGAACUUAUCACAGGCAAAUACAACUGCUAAAAAUUAUUUUUCAGUGGUAGCAUAAUUUCUCUGGGCACUGUCUAGAGUUUUACUAGCAUAUUGGAUAACAUUUAACUUCUUAUCAACUAUUUGUCCUACAAUAGCACCUACAGCAUAAUCACUAGCAUCACACAUAAUUUCAAAGGGUAAAUUCCAAUCAGGUGGCUGAACAAUGGGUGCAGAAAUCAAAGCUUUCUUAAGUAUUUCAAAUGCUUCUACACAAUCUUCAUCAAAGACAAAAGGAACAUCUUUUUGUAAGAGAUUAGUCAGAGGCCUGAAAAUUUUAGAGAAGUCCUUAAUGAACCUCCUAUAAAAACCGGCAUGACCAAGGAAACUUCUUAUACCUUUUAUGUCCUUAGGACACGACAUCUUUUCAAUAGCAUCAACUUUAGCUUUAUCAACUUCAAUACCUCUUCCAGAAAUUUUAUGCCCCAAGACAAUACCUUCAUUAACCAUAAAGUGGCACUUUUCCCAAUUCAAGACAAGAUUAGUUUCUUCACAUCUCUGCAAAAUUCGAUCAAGGUUGCUUAGGCAAUCAUUUUUUUUUGACAGAAAGACUGUAAGGGAACCCCCUACAGUAUAAUUGGUGCAACAACCCCAAAUUGCAAGUACCAUGCCUUGAACCUGGGUGGGUGGGAAGGCAUCAGCCCCUUCCCACCACUAGGCUAUGCCUUAGUCUGCUGCUUAGGCAAUCAUCAAAAGAAGUUCCAUACACGGAGAAAUCAUCCAUGAAAACCUCAACAAUCUUUUCACAAAAGUCAGAGAAUAUAGCAGUCAUACAUCUUUGAAAGGUAGCAGGUGCAUUGCAUAAGCCAAAAGGCAUACAUCUAUAAGCAAAGGUACCGAAAGGGCAAGUAAAAGUGGUCUUUUCUUUAUCCUCUUUUGACACAGGUAUUUGAGAGAAACCAGAAUAACCAUCUAGAAAGCAAAAAUGUGUAUGUUUGGAUAAUCUUUCUAGCAUUUGAUCAAUAAAAGGUAAGGGGUAAUGAUCCUUUUUAGUAGCUUUAUUUAAUUUGCGGAAAUCAAUUACCAUUCUACAACCUGUAAUAAUUCUCUGUGGGAUCAAUUCAUCUUUAUCAUUAGGAACAACAGUAAUACCUCCCUUCUUAGGGACACAAUGGACAGGACUUGCCCACUGACUAUCAGCAACGGGAUAAAUUAUACCUGCCUCCAGAAGCUUUAGUAUUUCUUUUCUUACCACUUCUUUCAUCUUAGGAUUUAACCGUCGUUGGUGAUCAACAACCGGUUUAGCGUCUUUCUCCAAUUUUAUUUUGUGUUGGCAUAGAGUGGGACUAAUGCCCUUAAGAUCAUCAAGAGUAUAUCCAAUAGCAGCACGGUGCUUCUUCAGAGUUUUCAAUAAUUUUUCUUCUUCCUGCUCUGAAAGGUUAGCACUAAUAAUAACAGGAUAUAUCUUCUUUUCAUCAAGAUAAGCAUAUUUAAGAGUAUCAGGUAAUGGUUUAAGCUCAAACACGGGAUCACCCUUGGGUGGAGGAGGAUCCCGUAGAAUUUCAACAGGCAAGUUGUGUUUCAAGAUAGGUCCUUGUUUAAAGAAUACUUCAUCUAUUUCCCUUCUUUCAUUCAUAAACAUAUCAUUUUCAUGGUCUAGCAAAUAUUGCUCUAAAGGAUCAUUAGGAGGCACGGCAAUAGAAGCAAGACCAAUAAUUUCAUCUUUACUGGGCAAUUCUUUAUCAUGGGGUUGUCUACGAAAUUUAGCAAAAUUAAAAUCAUGAGACAUAUCCCCUAAACCAACAGUAACAAUAUCCUUUUCGUAGUCUAUCUUAGAAUUAACAGUAUUCAAGAAGGGUCUACCAAAUAUAAUGGGACAAAAGUCAUCUUGUGGGGAACCAAGAACAAGAAAAUCAGUAGGAUAUUUAACCUUCCCACACAAGACUUCAACAUCUCUAACAAUCCCAACUGGUGAAAUAGUAUCUCUAUUGGCAAGCUUAAUUGUAACAUCAAUUUAUUCUACCUCAACAGGUGCAAUAUCAUGCAUAAUUUCUUUUUAUAAGGAAUGAGGUAUUGCACUUGCACUAUCACCCAUAUCACAUAAGCCAUGAUAACAAUGAUCUCCUAUUUUAACAGAAAUAACAGGCAUGCCAACAACAGGUCUAUUUUUACCCUUAGUAUUGGGUCUAGUAAUUCUAGCAGCUUCAUUACAGAAAUAAAUAACAUGCCCAUCAAUAUUAUCGGCUAAGAGAUCUUUAACCAUAGCAAUACUAGGUUCAACUUUAAUUUGCUCAGGGGGUGUAGGUGUUCUAGUAUUACUCUUACGAACCACAGUUGAAGCUUUAGCAUGAUCCUUUAUUCUAACAAGAAAGGGUGGUUUCUCAAUAUAAGCGGUAGGAACAAUAGGAUCAACAUUAUAAGUGAUAGUCUUUUCUUCAACUUUAAUAGGUUCAACUACUUUUACUUCAAUGGGAGGAUGAUAUUUAAACCACUUCUCCUUAGGGAGAUCAACAUGAGUAGCAAAGGAUUCACAGAAAGAAGCUACUAUCUCAGAGUCAAGUCCAUAUUUAGUACUAAAUUCACGGAAAACAUCGGUAUCCAUAAAAGAUUUAACACAAUCAAACUUGGGUGUUAUACCUGACUCCUUACCUUCGUCGAGAUCCCAAUCUUCAGAGUUGCGUUUAAUUCUUUCCAGUAAAUCCCAUUUGAAUUCAAUAGUCUUCAUCAUAAAAGAAUCAGUACAAGAAGUAUCGAGCAUGGAGCGAUUAUUGAGAGAAAGCCGAGCAUAAAAAUUUUGAAUAUUAAUUUCUCUUGAGAGCUCAUGAUUGGGGCAUGAAUAUAACAUUGACUUAAGCCUCCCCCAAGCUUGAGCAAUGCUUUCUCCUUCGCGAGGCCAAAAAUUAUAUAUAUAAUUACGAUCACGAUGAACAAGAUGCAUAGGAUAAAACUUCUGAUGAAAUUCCAAUUUCAAUCGGUUGUAGUUCCAUGAUCCCAUAUCAUCACAUAGCCUAAACCAUGUCAAUGCCUUUCCCUUCAAAAAUAAAGGGAAUACCUUCUUCUUGAUAACAUCCUCGGGCAUACCUGCAAGCUUAAAUAAUCCACAAACUUCAUCCACAUAGAUUAGGUGCAAAUCGGGAUGCAAUGUUCCAUCUCCGAUAAAAGGAUUAGCUGGCAGUUUCUCUAUCAUACCCGAAGGAAUUUCAAAGUAAACAUUUUCAGUAGGUUCAGUAGGUUGAGGAGCAACUCUUUGAUCUACUGGUCGGGGUGAAGAUACCCCGAACAAGACCAUCAAAGGAUUAUGUUCCAUAGUAACAAGUGACAGUAAAUUUCAGCACACUAUAUAAAAUUUUCCUUACCAAAUUCCACCUACCAAAGGCGCUUCACUCCCCGGCAAUGGCGCCAGAAAAGAGUCUUGAUGACCCACAAGUAUAGGGGAUCUAUCGUAGUCCUUUCGAUAAGUAAGAGUGUCGAACCCAACGAGGAGCAGAAGGAAAUGACAAGCGGUUUUCAGUAAGGUAUUCUCUGCAAGCACUGAAAUUAUCGGUAACAGAUAGUUUUGUGAUAAGGUAAUUUGUAACGGGUAACGAGUAACAAAAGUAAACAAGGUGCAGCAAGGUGGCCCAAUCCUUUUUGUAGCAAAGGACAAGCCUGGACAACUCUUAUAUGAAGGAACACGCUCCCGAGGACACAUGGGAAUUAUCGUCAAGCUAGUUUUCAUCACGCUCAUAUGAUUCACGUUCGUUACUUUGAUAAUUUGGUAUGUGGGUGGACCGGUGCUUGGGUGCUGCCCUUCCUUGGAAAAGCAUCCCACUUAUGAUUAACCCCUAUUGCAAGCAUCCGCAACUACAAAAAAAGUAUUAAGGUAAACCUAACCAUAGCAUGAAACAUAUGGAUCCAAAUCAGCCCCUUACGAAGCAACGCAUAAACUAGGGUUUAAGCUUCUAUCACUCUAGCAACCCAUCAUCUACUUAUUACUUCCCAAUGCCUUCCUCUAGGCCCAAACAAUGGUGAAGUGUCAUGUAGUCGAUGUUCACAUAACACCACUAGUGGAAAGACAACAUACAUCUCAUCAAAAUAUCAAACGAAUACCAAAUUCACAUGACUACUCAUAGCAAGACUUUUCCCAUGUCCUCAGGAACAAACGUAACUACUCACAAAUCAUAUUCAUGUUCAUAAUCAUAGGGGUAUUAAUAUGCAUAAAGGAUCUGAACAUAUGAUCUUCCACCAAAUAAACCAACUAGCAUCAACUACAAGGAGUAAUCAACACUACUAGCAACCCACAUGUACCAAUUUGAGGUUUUGGAACAAAGAUUGGAUACAAGAGAUGAACUAGGGUUUGAGAGGAGAUGGUGCUGGUGAAGAUGUUGAUGGAGAUUGACCCCCUCCCGAUGAGAGGACCGAUGGUGAUCACGAUGGUGAUGAUUUCCCCCUCCCGGAGGGAUGUUUCCCCCGCAGAACAGCUCCGCCGGAGCCCUAGAUUGGUUUCACCAGGUUCCGCCUCGUGGCGGCGGUGCCUCGUCCCGAAAGCUUGCCCCUUAUUUUUCUUCAGACGAAAGACUUCAUAUAGCAGAAGAUGGCCACCGGAGGCCUGCCAGGGGGCCCACGAGGCAGGGGGCGCGCCCCCCACUCUCGUGGAUGGUGGGUGGCCCCACUCUGGUUGAUUCUUUUGCCAAUAUUUUUUAUUAAUUCCAAAAACUGCCUCCGUGAAGUUUCAGGACUUUGGGAGCUGUGCCGAAUAGGUCUCUAGUAUUUGCUCCUUUUCCAGCCCAGAAUUCCAGCUGUCGGCAUUCUCUCUCUUCAUGUAAACCUUGUAAAAUAAGAGAGAAUAGGCAUAAGUAUUGUGACAUAACGUGUAAUAAGAGCCCAUAAUGCAAUAAAUAUUGAUAUAAAAGCAUGAUGCAAAAUGGACGUACCAACCACGUCAUACCUGAACACGGAGAAUACCAUAUGGAAUUGCAAAUGGAUCUUAGGUAGAUGAUGUUAGGGAUUGUAAGAGAUGGUAUACAGUAUAUAUGUAGUAGCGUCGGAUAGAUAUAUGAAAACUUGUUGUUCGACCAAGCACGGAGAAAGAGAGGUCACUUCUCUCUAUAUAUGUUCAUGACGAUGUUGUGUAAUUAAUGGUUCAUUUAUUUGCUUACUAGCUAGCGUCGAGUUCUCUCUAUAUGUAGUAGCUACCGUCGACCAAGCAUGGAGAAAGAGAGGUCACUUCUCUCUAUAUGUAGUAGCUAGCUAACACAAUAUGAAACCCCUAAACUCUCCUCUCCCCCCCCCCCCUUAAAAAAACAAAAAACCCAGCGCCUGGGAACUGCUAACGCGUGGUUGCCUUUUAGUUCUGGUCGGUGUUACCAACCGGGACUAAAGGUCCUCCUGCCUGGGCGCCUCACAGCGGCCACGUGGAGCUCCUUCAGUCCCGGUUCAUAAGCCAACCGGGACUAAAAGUAAUGGGCAUUAGUCCCGAUCAUUUUGUGUCGGUUGCAGAACCGGGACUAAAAGCCCUCUGGAACCGGGACUGGUGCCCUGUUUUCUACUAGUGAUUCUCUCUCAUUUGGGGGAAAUUACUUUAGUUAGAUCAUGUUUAGCUAGCAUUCCUUUAUAUCUAUUAGGUUCCCUAAAUGGUCUAUCAAUUUUAUUAACUCUCACAUGGCCAAUUCCGUGUGGAGUGAUAGUGAAGAAGCCCAUAAGAUGCAUUUGGCCAACUGACCUUCCAUCUAUAUGAGGAAGGAAUUUGGUGGUAUGGGUGUGCUUAACUUACAAGACAUGAACAUUUGCCUGAUAAGGGCUUGGGUCAAGAGGUAUUUUGCAGGGGAAGGAUCAUUGUGGAGGAAAGUAGUACUAGACAGCAAGUAUAAUAUGAGAAAUCCUUAUAUAAGGUGCUACCAUGAUAAUCACCCGUCUUAGUUUUGGAAAAGCUUUCAGUGGGCCUUACAAGCUGUCAGAGUAGGGUAUAAAUGGUGUGUUGUUAAUGGUAAUUUGAUUAGAUUUUUAGAAUAUAUAUACCUGGCAUGGUAAUGCCCCCCUAGCUACUCAUUUUUUGGGACCUGUAUUAUUUGGCCAAUGAAAAAAUAAGACUAUUGCUGAACUUUGGGAUGCUAAUGAGCUUAAAUGUACCUUUAGGAGGAAUUUUCAGAUGAACUAAUGGUCCGAUGGCUGGAUUUUGUUAAUAUCUUUAGGCUCACAUCCAUUAAUCAAGAUGAGGAUUCUUUUAUUUGGUAGUAUGAGUCCAAGGGGAUUUAUACUUCUAAUUAUCUAUAUGUUGUUGUUAACUUUUGGGAGGUCCAACCUUUGUACUUUCCGGCAGUGUGGAGUACCAGAGUUCCCCCCAAGGUUCUGGGUUUUUUGUGGUUGUUUUCACAAAAUAAAAUCAUGUACUGUGAUAACCUCAGGAAAAGAGGGUUUGCUAAGCCUUUAGAGUGUGUGCACCGUAAAGAAAUUGAAUCAGUCUAUCGUCUUUUUUUUUAGUGCAUUGUAUCUAGGCUGGUUUGAGGUUGAAAGUCUGUUUCAAGUUUCUGUUGAUAACUUUAAAUCAGUUGCAAAACACUGGUUUUGUGGAAGAAGAUACUUACAUCUUAAUGUAGUUUCUUAUGUUGUCAUGUGGGGGAAAUUGAAUUUUAGGAACUCCAUUGCUUUUAAUAGGUGCUGCUGGAUCUCUAUGAAACAUGUUCUAGGGCUGGUUUAUCGGUAUUUGAGAAGUUGGACAAAGCAGUACAAGGAUUUACGAGGGCUUCUGAUGGAAUCUCAGACCCUGUUGUGGAUGCGUCUGAAGGCGCCUUUUGCUCUCGAGCCAGACUGAUAUAAUGCAAGAUGUGGUUUGAAUCUGUAUCCUGCAAAGAGACAGUGUUGUGGAUGCGUCUGAAGGCGCCUUUUGCUCUCGUUCCAGAUUGGUAUAAUGUAAGAUGUGGUUUGACUCUGUAUUCUGGAAAGAGACAGUUGAAAAUGUUGCGCGUGGUGGGAGAAGUACACUGGAAUAUCAGAAGCAAAACCCUCAAGAAGACGACUCCAUCCAUGUUGUGUUCUCUAGUUACUCGGGAUGGCCCCCCUGGCCUGCUGUUGGGCGUUGUCUGAACUUUGCUGUGUUGGUAAUUUGCAUUAAAAUGUGCUCUAACUUCUGACUAGCUAGUAGACACUCAUUGUUUUCUUUGGUCUGGAUGAUGUUGUAACCUUGGUGAUUUAUUUCUUAAUUGAUUGGAGCCGGGGAGGGCCCCUGAUUAUUAUUAAAAGACAGUCUUGCUAAUUUCUCUUUUCAGUUUUUUUCUUUUAUUUUUCUGUCAUUUGACCGAGACUUGGUUAAGUCCUAAUCGACUGAGAAUUAGCCGCAUCCCAGAAAAACUGAUUUAUUUUAUUGCAUGCAGAAUAUAGAUCCGAUUGUUACAUCGACAAAAAAGCUACAGGGACGUAGAGGAUGAAUUAUACGAGUACACUGCAGUAUGAGUUACUGCUCCUUGUAGUCCUUGUUGUUGUAUGGGGCGAAGAGCUCGGCGAUCCAGUUGCCCUUGCGGAGCGUGGCGGAGCCGAGGUCGGCGCACAUGCCGUCGCUGUCGUGGAUGCUGUAGGUGGAGAUGCAGUGGCGGCGGUAGAACCGCGUGGUGCGGCGCAUGGCGUCGGCCUCGCCGGCGACGUGCCCCAUCAUGGCCUUCACGGACGGUAGCUCGAACCGCCCCUCCAGCAGCCCCGACAGCCACCGGCACCGCAGCUCUGACGUGUGCAGGUUGGACACGCUCUCCACGAACCCGACGAACGCCAUGUUCGGGAUGAGCGGAUGGAUCGUGCCACUGCCAAAAUAAAUUGCAGGUCAGCGUCGAUCGAUGCAUAUAUGUUGGAGGCUUGGAGCAAAAGAUAAACGCAACGUGUACACGUACCGGUAGAGCGGCAUCAUGGAAGACUUGCCGACGACGAGGUCGCGGAAGGGCUUUGGCAGGACCUCGCGGAGCUUGUCCUUGCCCUCGAAGCCGGUGGCGAGGAAGACGAGGUCGGCCUCCACCUUGGUGCCGUCGUCGAGGACCACGCCGUUCUCGGAGAAGCACCAGCCGGCGGAGGCCCUCUGGAAGCGGACGAGGCCGCGGUCCGCCAUGUCGAAGAAGCCCUCCGGGAGGAUGGCCAUCUGGCAGCUGGCGUAGUCCUCGACGAAGGGGUGGUCCGGCGUCAGACCGUACUUGCCCAGCGGCAGCUUCCACGACAGGUACGACUCGAUGAACUUCGACACCCCUGACCGCUGGACCACAAAAAUUGAAAGAACAAGACGUUGCUGUCAAGAUUGAGAUGUGCAUGCUGGUCAGCUUCGUGCAGUAAUUAAUGUUCUUGUUGAUCGGGGCACGUCUCGAGCAUGCACACGUGCAUGUUCUUGAGUCCCGAUGUAGAGUAUUACGUACGUUCAAACGUAGUACGCUUCUACGUACAUCAUUUCCCAUUUACGUGCAUGCGUGUCGUGUACAAGUUUCACGGUGUGAGUCAAAUCAUACCAGUGGGCUCAUGAGGCGGCAGAGGAGGGAUCUGAAGAGCCCUUGGUUGGGCCGCUCGUAGAAGAGCUGGGAGAAGCGUGUGGAGUAGAAGAGGAAGAACGGCAAGCCCCAGAUGGAGUACGACGGCACCACCCAGUGCAGGGUCCGCACCAGCAUCGUGCACGCCUGCCCUCCCUCGCCUGCAACCAAGCAAGCAAACGCAAUCGGUUAAUCGAUCGAUUCAUGUCAACAUUUAUCUCGAUCUAGUUCUUGUUUCCGCGACGGAAUCUCGACGCAGCCAGUUGCUCCUACUACUAAUUUCAGGAGCUCUAAAUCGAGAGAUGACCAGCGUCAAGCUGUUCGGUAUCAGCACUGAUUAUACUAUUGUUUUGAGGAACUGUUGAAAUGUAUACUCAAGUCAGGUCGAUAGGACGCCAUGGCAACUAGCUAGCUACGAGUCAUGCAUGCGGACAAUCUAGUUUGGAAGGUUCGUUUGGAACGGCAGAUAAUCUUUGUUGCAAAUCUGCUACUACUAGUCAAACAUGCAAACACUUUUGGUACAUAUAUGAUUGAGUGACGCGUAGAAUUUUCUUUGACCCCAACUGGAGUAGCAUAUAGUACUGCUCAUGCAUGAAGCUAGGAACGUUGAAAAGUCAAGUAGGGAGGACAGUCCUGAUGUUUGUGUACAGUAUGAUAGAUUGAUAGGUAAAAUACCUAGCUGGCAAUGCAUUCAAAGAAGAGAGAAGGGGGGUGGCUCUGUGCCGAAAUAUGUCGCUGGAGCAGCUACUCCAACGACAUAUAUUUAGGUAUAGAGGGAGUAAUAGUGACGAAACAACUCUUAACUUAUUUUUGUAUGUAGUGUAAUUAAUACUCUCAUCUGGUGUGACUUAUCUUCCCAAUUUUUACUCUUCCCUUUCUCUCCACAACCAGGCCACGAGAUGGAGAUGUAAACAUGGUUCCAAAAUAAAUUAAAUGCAAUAUCACCUAGACACAACAUUUAACAGACAAUGCAUUGUGGUAAUUGUCACUAAAAAAUCACUACCGUACCUAUGAUAACGUGUUAAGAGCCAAUGCAUUAGCACUGUCCUAAUUAUGUCUAGUGUACAUUGAACAUGUAAAUGCAAGAGACCUGCCUAGGCUAGGAUAGGCUGUCUAGAAUUGAAAUAGGGGAUCUAAAAAAUGUAAUGGGCGCAUGAUGAAGUGUGCAACGGGUCAGGACAAGAUUGACCUUUUCUGGAACAGAGUAUGCGACUCUCCCAAAUCGCCAAGGCACAUGUCACCAAAUAUGGUAUGCAUUAUUCAGACAUCCACUUCAUCGAAUGAUGGGACGCUUCCAUAAUAUUUAUCAGUAUCCUGUUUUUGUUUUGUUCAGCUCUGUGGGAACUUGCUUAGCAUAUUCUUUUUCUAUGAUUUCCUGGUGUACACGCAUUUACACGAGUACGAUAGCUUAUCUGCCUUCUGCUAGUUUCAUGCAUAGUUCCAUGUUGAAUUUUGUCCAUGUAUAGGAGAAUUUUUGUUCAAACCAUGUUAAAUCUUUCCUAUGCAUAGCUAGGAGUAUGCUGUUACGCACCUUGGUUUGCCUGGGCACAUUCGUUAGCUAGAUCGAUAGCGCUCUUCUUGUACCCAACCACCACAACCUUCUUGCCUCGCAUCAGCUCAACGGUCUCCUCCUCGCUCAGCUUGCAGUAGUCCAGCGAGUGCAUCACCGUCCCCUUGAACACCUCCGGCCCCUUCCCCGGCGGGAACACCGGCAUCCGCGGCACGUCGCCGUACUUCCCCGUGCACAUCACAACGAACUCGAACUUGUAAUACUGCAGAUUACCGUGUGCGUGAGAUCAAUUGAAUACAAAUUAUCUUGAAACAAGCAUGCAAAGCAUGUCAAGUAUAUAUGGUACCUGAACGGUGUUGGAGUCGCCGGUGACGAUGCCGACCUCCCACAUGGGCUUGCCCCGGAGCGGGGCCUUGCCGGUGCCGCUCCACAGCUCGGUGAACCCGGCCUCGGCACCGCCGAGGAACUUGAUGUCCACCACCUUGGACCCGAACGAGAUGUAGCGCCAGAGGUCGAACUCGUCGGCGUAGCCCUCGAGGUAGUCGACGAUCUCGGUGUGGGUCGGGAACGACGGGUCGUCGCGGUUCUUCCAGGAGUAGUCGGAGAACUCGUAGUCCGGGCGGGGCGUCUGCAGCCGCGUGGUGCGGUAGACGCAGUGCUUCCACACCCCGCCGACCGACGGCGUCGCCUCGAACACGACGGGGUCGUAGGCCGCCAUCUGCUUCGCCGCGGCCAGGCCGCUGAUCCCGCCGCCGAUGAUGGCCACACGGGACACCGGAGGCACGGCCUCCCUCGUGGCCCGUGCUGCUUGUCCUUGCGCCAUGGCCGUCGACCCGGGGUGUUGGAUGAAGCUGGCUGCGUGUGUGGCGAGGUGCUCGAUGGAUGGGUGGGCUGUGGCGGCUUCUUGCGGGCGUAAGGGGUGCAGAGCGUGAAGUGCUGUUAAGCUUUGAGGAGGGCUUGUGUGUUGUGUUGUGUCUUGUGUGUCGACGACAACAAGGGUUGGCGUAUUUAUAGGAUUAGGGAUGCUCUUGAGCACGUGAGUUUCCCACUGUGUGUCUCUUAGAAAAUGUACUCUCUUUUUUUUUGCUGAAACGUAGCUAGGCCCAGGGUGGGGGCAGCAGUACAUACAAGCAUACGCACAGCAAUUCCAUGCAGUAUACCUGUCUCCCAGUAUAAUUUUGUGGAAGCAUUAUAUUGCUUACCGCACAAUAAUGCGACUUACUUACGAGCAGUAAUGCUAGGUUACAUAGCUCCACCGGGUAUAAUUGACGUUUUUCCAACCGUUCCACCUCACAGUGCUCUAUCCUCCAUCUGUCAUCUGCUUUUCUCUAACUUCUAUCGUCUCCUUCCUCUAACCUAUGUCCUCUUCUUUCUCACUAUGAGUGGCGGACCCAGGAAUGGGCCAGGCCUCAGGCAGGCUUUGUUACCCUAGCAUUUUAGGAGCAAUGCUACACUCACGGACCAUUACAGGGGUUUUACGGGGUCAUUUUGACUUGGCAGAUUGUGAUUGGGUUAAGGGGGAGGAGGGGCCCAACCCACCUGAAAAUCAAGGAGGGGUGGAGAGGAUUAGAGGAAGGGGCCCGUGAUCAUCCUGUAAUUGGUCCGUGCGUUUAGCAAUUUCGAGCGCUAUAUAGCUACGGUAAAUGUUGCAGUCAACAAUUGAAUUGGGCCUCACGCCCCAGGCCGCCGCCCGGGCUGCCUGGCGCCUGAAUCCGUCGUUGUCCGCAUCUGUCGUACAUUCGUAUGUAGUAUUGUUUAUCAUUGUUGUCUUUGCCUCUCAUAUGAUCUUAAAUAUGGGUCCACUUCAAGGUUAUUUCAUAUGUCCAUUGGCUGCCCUUUUUAUCCUAUAUCGUCUUAUUUCUCUGUAUUCACUGACCUUUGUAUCACCGCCACCAUUGUUCCCGUCCUCCCGUUAGCCUUGCCUCGGCCGACUUGACAUAAGUGCCAUCGCCUAGUGGCAUCCUUGGUCAUUACUGUUGGGAUACUGCCAUCUUGGCCCCCUCUACGCUCGGGGCAACACAUCAAAGCAAUCAAACGCGAGCUAUGGCACAACUUCCAUCUUCGGUUAGGUCAAGUACAACGAGAGAGGAGGAGCACAACAUUCACUUAAUAAUGGUGCAGACGAUAAAAUUUAUUUCUAGUCAUUUAUUUACAUCUAAAUAGCUAGCCCCACUACUCACUCUCUCUCAGUUUAUAGGGUGUGCACGUACCCCUAGGUCGUCAAUUUGAUCAACUUAAUACAAGUCAUAUAUUACAAAAAAUACACCAAUAUAAACUUUAGAUGUUCUAUUUUCAAACGGUAUAAUUUUUGUGUUAUAUAAUUUAUAUUAUGGUGAUAAAAUUGUCAACAUAGAUAUACGCAUAGGACUUGUAAACUGAAAUGGAGGGAGUACUAUUUCUCUCGGCAUGUAAGCAUGCCACCUCACCGUGCAACAUGCAUGGAUAAAAGGUCCAUCACAACAUGCAACCAUGCAGAAAAAACUCACCUCAACAUGCAAACAUGUAUGAGAAUUCUCAUUUAUUAUGCUAUAUAAUAAAUAUUUUACAACUAUAAAAUAAUCAGGCACGAUAAAUCAUAUAUAUAUUAAGUUUUAGUCAUCACAUUAUAUCUCCAUAUUCAUGCUCCCUACAAUCAGAUCUCACUGAAAUAUAUUGCAAAAUACCUCUGCUACAACAUGCGGGCACGUCGAACCAAGCAGCCGCGGAACACACAAAUAUAUGUGCACUUGACCAUUGAGCUACUCCCUCCAAUUCAUAUUACUUAUCUUAAAUUUAUUUAGAUAGGGAUGUAUCGGAAGGAGCAGUGCAAUUUUAGGGCUUGCACCCGCCUUGUUUUCUUUUCUUUCUAUGCCCUCAACAAAACCUUUCUCGUACUUUCAAUUGUGUUGUAUUGUGUGUGUGGUGUGUGGUUUGUUGCUACCCUUUCUUAUGUACCUUAGAUGUUUGAUUGUGUGUUUUAUCUAUAAAGCGGGACGAAAGCCUAUUUAGGUAAUAGUAUAAUUUUACUUUUUUAACAAAUAAAAAUAUCAAAACACACGUGCAGUAUGUACACUUGAUCACCACCGACCGUAAACUGGGCAUGUCCUUUUCGGUCGCAUAUUGUUACAGUUAAUUUUUAGAGCAAAGAGCAAGGGUUUCAUUCAUGCAUGCAUGACCUUGUCAAGCCGGCCCCUCCAUCUCGUUCCGCUGACCAUCUGGAACUCUGGAUCGGAAGAAACUUAUUUUGGACCGGACCCCGUGCCUGCCCAUUUUUGGCUGGGCGCGUACAUAUCCCUACAUGGCUAUAUCUCACUUGAUUCUCGAAAAAAAAAAAGGCUAUAUCUCACUUGUCUUGUCCCGUCGCCAGCUGAAUGUUCCUUUCAGUUUCAACCCUAUCUAGUCCUUGCUUCGGUUGUUGCCACGUCCUGUCACCCGUGGUAGCUAGCUGCAUGCAUGCGGACUAUUCUUUCCCUGUCACCGCGGUGUGGAAGCAGCAAACCAAAUUAAUACGGUGCCCUAUCGAUCAAUUCAAGGUCAUUUUUUUAAAGACCAGGGCUCUGCCUGCCAACUUUAGUUUGCUCUCGGCCGGUUUAAUUCAAGAAAUAUAUACGUAUAUACUCAGCGUAAUAUGGGGGCAGUGAUAAAUCAAUUUAAUUUCCUAUUUGGGUCUCCAUGCAUGACCCUUCAAUUAAUGUACUCCCGACGGUUCGCAAAUACUAAGUCGCACCUUGAAAAUUCUUAUCAUGGCCGUCUUCCGCCGGACGUGACAUGGCGACGCAAGGGUGCUUGUUCCUUCUUCUUAUGACGUUGCUAAGGGGGGAUAGGCUUAACCAUAGGUCUUUAUUUUAUGUCUUGUAAUGGUUUAGCCGUGCUUGUCUUAAUUCCGUACUUUGUUUAAUAAUUAAUAAGAACCUCUAUUUCGGAAAAAAUAAGGUAGGUAGUCUCUUCAACACUCAAAUGGAAUCUGAAAUUUAACUUUAACCCAACGGAUCGACCCAUGCCUGCCCAUUUUUGAUUUAAAAAAUUUCAGCAUGAACAAUUGAAAUGAUAGCCCGCAAAGAAAAUAGUUUUUUUUUGCGGGACCGCAAAGAAAAUAGUUGAAAAGAUAGUUGCAGUAGAACUUUGUCUGAAGCUAUAUCAGCCUAUGAGCUACGGUGCUAUGAGAGCAUCUAUAACCGGACUCCCUAAAUUGAUCGGGUGGACGCAAGACCACUGGCCGGACAGAAGAGAGAAGGAAAAAGUUGACUAAGUAGACCACUCAGAGCCUCUCUAAACAUCUGGGCUCCUCAUACUCAGCCCAUAUAAGGGGGCAAUAUGAGAAGUGUUCGGGCGUGUACAGUCAGUUUGGCACAUAGGAUUUGGCCCACAUGUACCAUGUUUUUUCUUUUUUUUUCUUUUCUUCCUCUCUCUCUUCAUCCCAUCAAUCACAUGCAUGUGAUCGGACGUAUAUGGAAAAAAAGGGGACAUUGAUGUUUGCACAGACAAAUGGGGACUCGGAAUAGACACGCUCAGACACUGAUCGGACGCGUCCACGGACGUUGCAGGGGCCAAAUUUGCCCAGUCGGACCGAUGCCCUAAUUCUCUGACUUUGAUGAGACUAAUUGUCAAUCAAGCGAACAGCUUGGAAACUCAAUACAAAUACUAGUAGUUUUCUAUGGAUAAAUCCAAGUAGUAUUGUGCUAAAACUCCUGUUGGUCUUGUGAACUACGAUGUAUCCGACCUUCAAUUUAACCAACUAAAUAUGGAUUGUGUAGGACAAAAGUUAUAUCAGCAAAUUCAUAUUGAAAAAAAAUCUCUAGUAUGAUAUUUAGGUUACAUAGCUAUAUAUUAUUGGUUUGGUAACGGGUUAAAGUAAAAAUUUAUAGUAUUUUUAGAAAAGGAGGAGGACCCCCGGCCUCUGCAUCUGGACGAUGCAUGUAGCCACUUUAUUAAUUAUUCACACAAGACCUUACAAAGUCAUACAACAGUAAGAUUAAAGUCACCGUCUAGGCAACAUCUGUCGCUAUUCGUAUCCAGUUGAUGUAGGGAUGCUGAUAGUCUGGGCCUAAUACCAAACAGACCUCGCAGCCAAACCUAACAUCUAAGACCUAAGGUCCCAACCAGGACGCCUGCCGGGUAUGGGCACCCACCAGUCCGGCGCACUCCUCAACCAGGACGCCUGCCGGGGAUGAGGCCGCCGCAGCCACCUGCCACCAAUCCAUCUUCAGUGAUGUGCUGCUGCAUAAACCUUGCCAGGCCUGCAGUCGACGCUACCACGACGCCAGACAAUGCCACCAUCCUGCGCGUGUCCAUCCACGCGCGUCCAUCGCCGAAACUCCGCAGCGCCAUGCCGCCGUGAUCCGCCGUCGGCCUUGCGGUAGAUGUAACACCGCUCCUCCUCUUGCCACCUCCAUCCAUCACUUGCUCCAGAACGAUGCCCCCAGGAGGGAAAGCGAUACAGAGAACGCCAUCAUCGUCCGAUCCGGAAGACUCAGAUCUAGGGUUCCCCCCAGAGCAUCCCGAGCCUGAUGACGCAAACUGCAACGACGAUGCCAUGACAAGGAAGCGACAUCCAAGACGCCGCCAUCGUCCGCUUGACCGUAGUCGGCGCGAUUUUCAUCGGCACUUGCGCCACCGGGCGUGCGCCGUCGGCGGCGCUGGUCCCUUCAACCGGAGCAAAAUUCAAAACAAUGCCCUGAAGAGGGACUACGACGCAAAAGCACCGCCAUCGCUCGAUCCCAAGAAGAUCUAGGGUUUCCCCCGGAGUUGCCCGCGCCAUCAAGGACCAAACAAGGAUGGAAUCCGCAGAUCCGCCCAGCUGCCGACGUGUCGCACCCGCCACCGCGCCGACCGCGACCCGGAGACCAAGCCCCUGAUCCGGCCGCGCCGCCGCCGAUCCGGUCGCGCCGCCGCCGUUCCUGACGACCGCGACGCCCCAGACCUUGAAGCCGCCUGCCGUGGAGGUAUGGAAUCGCCGGAGCGCUGCCACCCCCCGCCGUGACGUCCGGCCGAACACCGCGCUCCGGCCCGGGGGCGCCGACCCGCACCAGCCCCUCACGAGCGGGAGGGCCCCGAGUCCCCGCCGCCGGCGGCGACGGCAAGGCUUCGCCCUGCCGCGCCCUUGGACGGCAGCGAGGGAGGAGGAGGAGAAGGGUAGGUCGGGCGACGGGAUCUGGGAGCCUCCCGGCCGCCACACGGGGGCGACUCGGGAGGAGGCAGGAGCGUAUCGAGAAGAUCGUACCUGAGAUGGUAGCUGAGUUACCCUUAAAAAUUGGGGGAGAAUUUCACUUCCCCGGCCUCUGCACCAAUUAGGGAUGCAUACGGCCUUUUUAGUAUGAGUACCAAGAUAAACAUGGUCCUCAGAUUUGAUAAUAACGAAAACAUCAAACAUACGCCACCCAUGAUACUGAAUACAGCAAACCAACAUGAUUAGCUGGGUCAUUGAAUUGAGAGUAUACAAUUAAUUAAUAUGCAAGUAUGCAUGUCCACUACUAGUACUUCUGAACUCCAAAACCAACCAAGACUCGGGAGGGCUGACCUUGAACAUGCAUAUAUGUAUAUGCAUGCAUACAGCCAGGCAUAACUAAUUAAGAAAACCAGGAAUUAGGUCGAGUUGCAAGUGUAUGUUGCAUCUGAACUUCCUCUCAAGACCGUGUCUUCAAUUUGAGCUUUGACCUCUACGUGGACCGUAUACACAAUUGGUACACUGAUUAGGUUCAUAAGUUGCUGAUACAUGCAUAAACCAAUACAUGUCGGCCACAUGAUCCGUUAUGAUACUAUUUGGUGUAGUCUUGCUCGAUUACACGCGAGGUUAGGUGGAUUAGAACUAUUCUAGUACAUUACAGUCGCGUAUGUAAUCCAGUUUACUGAUGAUUUGGUGUGAUCAUUGCAGAAAUCUAUAUAUGUAUGCCACGUAGUACAUCUGAUUGUUCCGUACAUUUACCUCGAAAACUGAACUACUUUGCAUGGCACUUUCCGAUGCAUAUGGAAAUGAUCGGAUUAGCUAGAUGCGUGUAAUGUAAAUUAAAAAUAUCCAUUGUGUACGUAACACUUGAAAGUGUUUUAGACGGAUGAGGUUUACAAACAUAUCCUGGAGUAUAUACUGGAAAAUAAAUUGGUUAGUUCGAUACGUACAUAGAUAACGAACUUGCUAAGUAAUCGAGGAGUAGAAUUAUAGGCAUGCAUUAGCACGUGGGGUGGCAAACAAAUGUCGGUACGUAAGCGCCGUUAAGAAAGGUAGCUCUAGGAAAUGCCAGGAAAAUGUUUUAGUAGUUUAAUUAAGAGUAGGUCAUUUUCUCCAAUCUAUUAUACUUUCAUUAUUUUGUUAGUAAAGCAAGAUUGCUGAUAUUAAAAAAAUCCAAUUUUGAACUUGAAGUGUCUAUUUACAAAAUUCACUAUGUUUGUACGCAAUUUAGUGUUGUUUCUAUUGUGUACCCUAUGUAUCAAAGUAUGUCAAGCACUUUUUUCACACACAAAAAGAGUAUGUCAAGCACUUUACAAAUUGGUUGGACCUAACCGAUGCCAAAUCGCCCCUAGGUUCCCUGUCCAGAGAGAGCGGCCUAGUUUCAGGGAUGGACGGCGGUGACUCAACGACAUGCUUUUUUUUUUGCAUUCUUUGACUUGAAUGGUAUAUAUAAUGGUGACAGGUAGUAACCGUACCAUGCGGUUUCUUUGGGAAUGUGAAAGUGUGAGAGUGUAAUAGUCCAGAUUUCUUUCUUUUAUUCAUAUGUAUCUACUAUCUACAGACAUACUAUGUACUGUAGCGUUGACAGAAAAAGGACAAAGAAAAACAGAGUUUUCAGAGUUGUGGUCUUCUAGACUGUGACAUGAAUUCAAAUUGACUACAAAAGUUUCAAGGAAAGAAUCUACUACAGCUAAGCAAAGGGUAAACAUGAGUUUUUUUCUUGCGGCGGUAAAUAUGACUCUUUGACUGUGACAGUAUACACACUUCUAAGUUACUAGACAUAUGUAAGCAUGCCAUAUACUCACUAGCUAAUGCUCGAGAAAUUACCACUGAUCUUAGGGAAAAUUUCGUGUACAAUUCUCGACUUGUGCCACAUACAUAAUAAUGCUCGAAAUGCGCCCGGGUUUUACAAAUGUACAUGCAUACUCUUCACCAGUUUUUCAAUCGUCAGGAUUCGUCAGGAUUCAGUAGAUUCAAGAGACCCAGAAAAUCAGCAAGAGACCAACCGGCCAAGAGCAUGGGUCCAUUCAUAGAAAACUUUGAAUUUCUUCUUCAGGACCAAUCAACUAGACCGCAGAAUAUAAAGGGAACGCGAACGACGUACAGAUCGCAAGCAAGACCAGACCAGAGAGAUAUCAGGUAAAACCGUAAAAGUACUAGCUUGCAACUGACUAAUGGACUAAAUAAGUACGCUCUUGUUCAUAUCUUCGCGGACCAUUCCUGGCUAGAAUUAUUGCACGUACUCUAAUCACAUAACUAGUCAACUAGUGGCCCACUAAUUGAAUAAUCGAUCGUAGUACUAAUCAGCUUAUAUACUAAUAAGCAAGUACAGUAGGUGUGUAUACUUUUUUUCUAGCAAGAAACAAGUUGGCUCUUUCAGUAGUUCUGCGUACAUGGGUUUUGAGGAGGUCAAGCUAUCCGCGUACGAUCGUCAUCAAGCUAGUCUUGACCAAAGAUUAUGUUCUCUAGCUAGGUACAAGUCCAGUGUCCAACUGUCCAUUCAUCGCGUCGUAGCUCUUGCAGAGUUUAAUGGAAUUAAUAUACGGUUUUGGUGGUAGCAGGAUUGCAUCAGACCGAUGUGGAUAUUCUCCUCCAUGAUUGUUGAACGUUAUUAUGAUGGGCGGUAUGGAUGCCAUCCCCAUGUGCUACGACUUGUAACUAGACCGACUCUGGACGUACAUGUGCAGACCAGCAGUUGCCAGGGCCAUAUACUACCCGACCAAUGUGCGAGCCCAGAUGAUGAGAUGAUUCAUGAUCGCACCGCACAUGGACAUGCUCGUAGAGGGAAAACGAAGAAAAAUAGUAGAGUAAUAAUUAGCAUCCACCUUAAAAAAGGAAAAAAUAUUUUUUAGGAAAGUAGAGGUAAUAUUAGUUAGGGCAUCUUCAACACGGAACCCUAAAACGGACACUGCAUCUGUCCGCAGAUCGGUUCAGACCGGUGUUCGGACACUAGUACGUGAGCCGGUCAUCCAAAGCUAGCCGCAAAUGGCCGGUCUUAUUUUGAACGUCAUUUAACCAAAAGAAACAAAUUUGAUGCAAGUUUAAACAAACUGGACGAUUUUCAUUCAAACUUAAAUGAUUUUUACAUAAAAUCAGACGAUAUAUCAUCCGGUGAACUAAAACCAAAAUAAAUAAAUGCUAAACUACCUUUUACUUGACGGUGACCUCGCACGCCAGGCCGGUCUGGUUGGCGGCACCUCCAUCCUCGUCAGAGGAGAUGACGAUCUCCUCCUUCACGGAGGAGCCGGGCGCCGUGGAGGAAGAGGGCCCGGAGACCGAGGGUGGCGAUGCCACACUCCGGAGCCGCCCGCCGGUGCUGAGGCCCAGGACCGCCUACCUGCACUUCUAGGUGAUUACCUCUGGUCUAAGUCUGUUCAUCGUCCUUGACUUUCCAUCUUUUUGGAUUGAGGACUCCAUGGGCUAUCAGAGACCAUUAUUAGUAAUCAUGUUCGUGCGGGUGAACGAAUGGCAAUGCCGAUGCUCCAAUCUAAUCGUAGUCUCUAUUGAUGUCUUAGAAGUAUUUCAUUUUGCAAAGAUUGAUAUUCCAUAGAAUAUGCAUUCGGGGGAUUUCAUUGUAUUUCUUAAUCAUAGGGGUUACGUCGUAGUUUUCUUGGAUUUUAGAUCCAAAGCAUUGUACCUUUAAUAAUGGUUACAUACGAGUGUGAAUAAAUUUACAAGUGUUUUUUUCUUAAAUGCAUGCAUUCGUAGUUCUGCAAAAAAAAUCAUUCCUUCGUUCCAUGCAAAAAGAAAAACUUCAUUUCUUCGUACUAGAAGAAGUCGUUAUUCAUCCCCUUUCCGGCCGAGGCGGGCAAAACAUGCAUGAAACAAUCAUUUUGGACAAGACGCCCGUCUAGUCGCCGAUCAACGCUCGCUUCGCCAGCGAUUCAGUACGAUUCGUACGUACGAUGCCUUUCAAUUCAAAGAUAAAAUCCUGCGUAGACUCAGGGCCUGGUAGUAUUUGCGUUGCCCGUUUUGUGCUACCACCGGUCAACAUCGAUCGCGAAGGUGCAGGUGAAUGCACCGCCGACCAGUACCACAGCCAAACCGAUGCUACUGAACAGCUGCUGCGGUGCGCCAUGCAUGUCCCUUGGACGAAUCGAUCAGGUCCCGUUUCGUCGCACGCGCACGGCAAUUGCCCGGAUGGAUGGAUCGAUCGGUAUAUCCAUCCACGAUCCAUGCAUCAAGUGAGCACGUGCGUGCACACCUACACCUGGAUAGAUCCGAGCCUGCACUGGCCACCGACACGUACGUACGCCGCCGACCGGUCUUGCUAGCUGGCUAGUCGGAGAUUUUGCUUUUGACGGCGGGCCGGGACGGACGGUAGAUAUGCAGCACUGCAGCGCACGUCAAUGCAAGCACGGUGCUAUAGCUGCAUGGUCGAGUCCAAUGUCCAAAGCUGACCCGUUCGUUUCGAUCCGCAUGGAUACUGCAUGAUCCUUUGGCGUCUUGCCAAGAUUCACCACGCGUUUGCGCAUGCGUCGGUCGAUCGACAAUCGUUCGGUGUCAUGGCUUUCCUCAAGACUGGAGCGCGCAGACAGAAGAAGAGAUCAGAUAAAAUCGUGAAAAGCCAUGAGAAUAUCAUACGAAAACAAACAUUUGGCGAAAAUCGGUGAAAACCACGCGGAAAAGGUGUUUCAAGGUAUCAAAAAAUAUGUAAAAAGACUAGGGGAUGUUAAGAGGGUGAUGUUCUUCCCCACAAAAAAGAAAGGGUGAUGUUCUAUUGCAAUGAAAAACUCUAAGUUCAAACAUGUUACCAGAUGUGAGCUAUGAAAAUAACAAAAUCAGCAUUGAACAGUGUCAAACAAGAACGUAUUCAGGGCUGAAUUUGCUCUUUUCAUAGCUCACAUCUCGUAAUGUGUUUCAACUCGAAAUUUUGCGUGGCAAUAAAACAUCACCCUCCUAACAUUUUGUAUAUUUUUAGAUUUUUUUUAAACUUCCAAAUAUAGUUUUCACGAAGUUUUCUCUGAAUGUUGGUUUCUGUAUGAUAUUCUCCCAGAGAGGACACUGCUAUGUAUCGCUUCUAGCGAGCAGUUCUUUCGCUUCACUCACGUGUAGCCAGCCCACUAUUUUAGAUGGUCUGAUGGCCCAAUCGUGCGCUAGUCGAGGUGCGUUCACGUCGCUCAAGUAGUAGUUGUAUGGGUCAUUUCCAUAGAGCCUUUUUUUUAUUUCAAAACCUGUUUAUGAGAAAAACAAAUCAUAGACUUAAAAAAGUUCAACAAUACUAAAAAAUACUACCUACGUAUAUAGACGAUAUUAAAAAAAUUCUAGACUUGUUUUAAUUUUAAGUAAAUCAGUAUCUAGACAAUUCUAAGACAAUUAAUGUGGGAUGGAGGUAAUAUUUACAAUUUCAGAAAAUAUUGGUAAAUUUUAGAAAAAUAUUCACAAAUUAGGAUAUUUUGUCAAUUUUUUAAAAAAUCACAUAUAUUAUAAAAAUACAAGUUUGCUAAUUAAAAAUUUUCAUGAAAUUAAAAAAUUGAAUUUAGAAAAAAAGUUUGGAACUCUUAAAAAUAUUCACGAGCUCAAAAUGCUUGCCAAUUUGAAAAAAAAAAUCAAAAACAUAUUCAUGAUUUUAAAUAAAGAAAUUGACAAGGAAAAAUGUUCCUGGGUUGAAGAAUGAUCAUGAAUUUGAAAACAUGGUGGCCGUUAUUAAAAAUGUUCAUGAAUAUGAAAAAAUCAAAUAAGUUUACAUGGACCCUUUUUUUUACCGUGGUCGUCCGCGACUUGCGUGUAUACCUGGCCAUCAGCAGCCCGGCCCGGACGGCCCGACCCGACCUUGCCCACCGCCAGGCCUGGGCCUAGAUUUUGAGCCUGAUGGUCGGGUCGGGCCGAGCUCGGGCUUGUCGUACUUGUAAUUUAAAGAAGAGGCCCGGCACAAGGCCCGAGACCCAACGGGCUUUUUAACUAAUGGGUCGGGCUUAGGCCUGAAAACUAGGCCCGAUGGCCGGGCUGGGUCGGGCCCGGGCAUAUGUUUUCUUCUUUAGGCUUUGCUAGGCCAAGCCCGAAGCCCGGCCCGACCGAGUUAUGCCUAGGCACUAGCGGAAAAAGUGAUAGCCACAAUUUUCGUUGGUGGCGCGCCAUUUUUCAUCCACGCCAAAUACUGCUGGCGUGCGCAUAUUAGCACGCCAUAUUUACAUGUUUAGUGCUGUCGUAGGUUUUUAUAGAGACGCCACAAAUCUUUUGGCCCAUAUGUACUAAACGUAUGAAAUAUAGUGGUGGCGGAGGUUCUUUAUGUACGCCAGUUAAUUUCUUAGUGUUGUGGUUUGUUUUCUAUGCACGCCAGAAACUGUUUUUCAAUUUUAUCAAGGGUUUUAAGUAUUUAAUGGUUAUAUUAGUCGAUCCUAAAAAAUUUUGAUUAUACUAGUCACAUUUUUAGUGUUUUAUCAAAAUAUGUACUCAUCAUUAUUAUUUUUACUGUUUUUAUCAAUUUAGGACUUUUAUUUAUUUACUACCAGUUUAAAUUUUGAGUUCUUUAUUUGUCAAGUCUUUCAUUAAUCUUAGUCCUUUUUUAUUUGGCCUGUGAUUAGCUAUGGUGUUGCCCUUUUAUCCAACGCCAGCAAUAACCUAUCUGAACUUAGUAAAAGACCUAAAUCACCGAUCUCUCUCAUUUCACGCGCCCGGUCGUAUACACAACUCCUCCCGCUGGACCAAAUUCUCCGCCGCCGCCACCCCAACGCUGCCCUAUUGCCGCCGCCGCCCCUCGCCGGCACCAAGGUUAGAUCCACUACUCCUCCGUUCGCGGACACACCACACGAUCGGGAUCCAUUGGGAUUUGCUUUGUGUCAUGUAGAUUUCAAAGUUAGUUGCAUGGAUUGCUUUGUGUAGAAAUUGUAGUGAUAAUCCAAUUGCUAUUGUGUAGAAUUUGAUAUUUAUAAUGCAUUUUUAUUUGAAAUAUUUUCAGUGUCUAGAUUAUUAUGAAUAAAAAAUGAACUCCUAUAAAUUACUAGUGUAGAAUUUAUUUACUUGUGUGUCUCCCUCUGUUGGUGAAUCUGAGCUAGUUUGGUACAAAUUGAUAUAUUUAGUAGAAAUGGAUAGAAUGUGUUAUGUGUAGAAUUUAUUUACUUGUGUGUCUCCCUCCGUUGGUGGAUCUGAGCUAGUUUAGUAGAAAUUGAUAUAUUUAGUAGAAAUGGAUAGAAUGUGUUAUGUGUAGAAUUUAUUUAAUUGUGUCUCCCUUCGUUGGCAGAUCUGAGCUAGUUUAGUAGAAAUUGAUAUAUUUAGUAGAAAUGGAUAGAAUGUGUUAUGUGUAGAAUUUAUUUGCUUGUGUGUCUCCCUCCGUUGGCGGAUCUGAGCUAGUUUAGUAGAAAUUUAUAUAUUUAGUAGAAAUGGAUAGAAUUUGUUAUGUUUAGAAAUCAGGGCAAGUCCUCAUAUCCAAAAAAAUAGGCUGAUAAUUUGUUAUAACUAUCUUCCGGUUCCAGAAGGAAGAGAAAAUAGCAUUGGAAGUUAAAAGUCUGGCACUUGUCGAGCUUUUCUAUUGAUUGAUCCUCUGUAACCAACAUAUCUAGUUUGCUAUGCAAUUUGCUACUGUAGGUCACCACAUGCUAUCUAGUUUCAUUAGUUCUAUACAUUGCAAUAUUUGAACUACUUUACAUUAGUGUCAGUAUUCAGUGAUAUGAAAUUGCAUAUUAUCUUGAUCGUAUACGCGUUGUGUUUGUAUGUCAUGGCCAAUUCUGGAGGCAACAACGAGUUCGUGUGCGAUGUGGACAUGGCCAACAAUGAAUUCUUAGACACUUAUGAGUGUGUCAUCAAGAGCGUGCAAGGGGCAAAUCAUGAGCUAAAGAGAGAGAUUAAAGAGCUAUGCAAGUAGACUGUUCGGCUCGUUCAGGAGACUAAUCAGCUUAGGGACGAGAGAGAUAAGCUCGUCAAGGAUCGGGAUAAACUGAAGGAGGAGAGGAGACUCCUCAGGGCUGAGAGGAUUGACCUGAAGAUGGACAAAGAUCAUUUCAGAAGGGAAAGGAGAGGGGGAUAUACAGAAGCUUCGCCAGCUGGGCAUACUCCUUGAUGAAGCUUAGUUUUUUUAAGUAGCUAACUAGUUCAUGUUAUUAGUUGAUGAUAAUCAAGUAACUAGAGUACUUGAGUGAGCAACUUUUGUGAAGUUUGAUAUCAACUUGUUGAGUUCAUGAGCCUCUUCUGUAAUGAUUAUCUAUUGAAUAAGUACCUAGUGUUGAUGAGUAUAUUGUGUUUAGUAGUAUCUAUUAAGUAAGUAGCUAGUGUUGAUGAGCAAAAAAUUUUAUUACCAAAAAAACCAUUUGCUGGCGUUGGACAAGUAGGCAUGCCAGAGUUAUGAUAAACUUAGUGCUGACGUUGGACUGGUGAUACGCCAGUACGAUGGUAGGAUACUGCUGACGUGUCCUCCAGCGCCAUCACUAUUUUUUAGCAAUGACGUCAUAUUAGUGGCGUCGUGUGUCUACGCCAGCAGGCAAGGCUGUUUUUGAAACGUCAUAGCUAGACUUUUCUCCACUAAUGAGGUAUACUUAUGUGGGAAAGGAAGGCCUGCUUUGUUGUCGUGCCCCCUACUAUGUGUGUAGGCCUGAUCGGUGGAGCUCUUAUUCUUCGCUUCAUGCUAAGAAUAGCCACUGAAAUGCACUUGUGCUCCGGCCCACUACGUGAUCAUGUCGUCCCUCGGAAACACUAAAGCCGAAUCGUAUGAAAAGCAGCAUUGCUCCAAGCUCCAAGGAAACCAUUGAUUUGCAUAUUUGAAAAAUACACCUCUGUUCCUAAAUAUAACACAUAUUUGCCAUUCAAUUUAAAAUGCAAAAAUGUCUUAUAUUUAGAAAUAGAGGUAGUAGCCUAUUAAAGAAAACAUCAUAAAUAUGAAAAUGUUCCUGAUUUUACAAAAAAGAACAUAUGUUUUUUAGAAACAUCAAUGUAUUUAAAACAUAUUUUUAUUAUUUAAAAAUGUUCAUAAUUUUAAAAUUUCAGCUUCUUAUAAAAAAAAUUAAAUAAUGUAUCAUUGCAGAAAAAGUGAUUUUAAAAUGGUUGUGAAUUUUAAGAAGUCCAUGAGUUUUUUAAAAAAUUCCAUAAAUUUAAAACAAAAUUAGUGAAUUAUAAAAAUAUUGAUGUAUUAUCAAAAAGGAACUAGAAUUUAAUACUAAAAAUUGAAAAAGGAAACGAAAUAAAAAAGAAGGAAAAUAAAUAAAAUUAUAUAAGAAAAAGUUGGUAUAUAAAGCUAAACCCCACAGUCGCACAUUGAAGCUCAAAUUUGGACAUUGGUCAUGCACGCACCUUUGAGUUUUAUAUGCCUUCGUCGUGGGGACCUCCUCGUCAGUGCUUAUGGCGGUACAUCACGCUGGAGCGCUCGUGCGGAAGCUCCAUUGACGGUUAUCAGUUUUUAGUACAUUUUACGUAGUUUUGUGAAUAAGAAAAUGUUCGUAACUUGCAUGAAAUUUCAUGAAUAUAAAAUAUACUCUUGAGUUUGAAAAAAAAUAUGAUUUUGAAAACUGUUAGAACUCGAAAAAAGUUUGUGUAUUUGAUAAAUGUUCACUGAUUGGGAAAAUGUUCAUGGGUUUUAAUGUUUUCAGCAGAUUUAAAAAGGUUCAAGGAUUUUUUUUAGAAAUUAUUCCUUAUUUCAAAAGUUGUUCGUGAAUUUUAAAAAAAUUAAUGCAUUCUUAAAAAUCUCAUGGAUUUCGUAAAAGUUCACAACUUCAAAAAUAGUUCAUGCAUUUGAAAUAUUCUACGGAUUUGAAAAAGUUCACGCCUUUGAAAAAGUUUGCGGCAAGAGAAAAAGAGGUAAAAAAAGAAAUAUGAAAAAUAGAUAACCCGAGUAACAACCAACCAAUAACAAUUAAAAUAAAAUGCAGAUAAACUGGACAGAAUAUACUGAGUAAUCCAUCUAGAAGGUUCCCAAAACCGUAAUAACACCCUUCAAUUUUUCAGUCUUUAUGGGUCAUCCCAUUUUGACGUCCAGUGUGUGCAUGCUACAAAAGAGAAAGCAUGUCGCUAUGUGAAUGGGUUGCAUCUGAACGCAGUCCAUAUAAGCGUGGCGAGGGCCAUGUCAUGCUCCCGCUCACUCAGAGCGGUCUAUAGCAGCGCCCAAGACGAAUUCCUUCCCUAUUUGGCGCUUAGGCGGCAAAUAUGGAAUGCAAUGUGUUCCAUUUAAGCGUCGCGAGGGCCAUGUCCAUUCAGGCAUCAAAUAAGAAAUGACUUCGUCGUGGAGAGUGCUCUUAACUGCGCCUUAUGUGCUAGUUGGGGAACACACACUCAUGCUCCUCCCGCUAAUGGGUCGGCCCAAUUAAAAUGGUUACGAGCGCUACCUCAGUUCUUGGUUCGCUCUUCCAAAAAAAUAUUUCCUGGGUUUUUGCCUUUUUAUUUCCCUGAUUCACUCGAUUCAGAUAGUUUCCAGUUAGCCGGCCGAGUGUUGACCGUUGACCGGUGGCACAGUUGACCAUUAAAUUUUCAGAAAAGUUCACAAAAUUCAAACAAAUGAUGAAAAUAAAAAGUUCAGGUAUUUGAAAAAAUGCAAAAAAUAAAGCGUUUGAAAUUUGAAAAAGGUUCACAAAUUUGAAGAAAGCGUUUGAAAUGAAGAAACUUUCAUUCAUUUGAGAAAUAUGGAAAGGAAUAAAGAAUAAAGAAAAAGAAAAAGAAAAAUACGAAAUGAAAGACAAAAGAGAAGAAAAAAGAAAAAGAAAAAAGGAAGAGAAAAAGAAAAGGAAAAAUAAAAACCAGUCCAAAAACUAAAAAAGAAAAACCUGACAGAAGCUUCCAAAGCUUCCUAAAUCCGAGCGAGGAAACUUCUGGGAGCUUCCCAAAACUGGGAAAGGGAGCUCCCGCUGAUGCCUUAUACGGGUCGGCCCAUACAAUAUCUAUAGGGGGUGUGCGCGUUGUACGAUUUUUUUCCUUUAAACAGCAAGCACUAAAUAGGAGAGCAACUGAGUGGAGGUCACUUCAAGUGGUCAUAUUUCCUUCUUGCGGAGGCACAACCGUGCUUCUCGGAAAGGGAAAACAAUCUGUACUUCCAUGAGAAACACUGAUUUGUUUCUCGUGGGGGCACAUAUUUCCUUCCACGCAGUUGUGUUUUUCAGAAAGGGAAAAUAUGUUCUUCUUGUUGCUUCACAUGGAGGCACAAAUUUGCUUCCGCGAUGUGCUUCUCGGAAAGAAAAAGUUGUGCUUUACAAGAAGCAUUUACUUCUCGUAGAGGCACAUAUUUACUUCCGCGAGAAGCAAAGGGAAAAAAUAUGUGCUUCCACGAGAAGCACAAAUUUGCUUCUCGUGAAGGCACAGAUGUGCUUCCGCGAGAAGCACAAUUGUGUUUCUUGAAAAGGAAAAAAGUAAACGGAAAAAGAUACUUUUGGCUUAGGGUUUUUUUUCUUCCAAUUUUUUGUGAUUUUUUUGAAAUCUAUUAACAUGGGAUCUAAUUUUAAAUAUCUCGAUGCGAGAAACCCAACAGUGAAAAUGAUUCGAGAUUUAGAUUUACAGUUCAAGAGAUAAAAUGAUUUUAGUAAACGAAUCUAGGAAAAAGGGAGAAAACUCCUAGAUCGAGACAAAUGACACACAUGUAGUGCGCGAGUUAUCAACGGCAGAGAAGAUGGGAGUGGCAUUUGUGAUUUUGGCUAAAUAGGACUUACCUUCGUUGUGGGUGUUGCUAUCGACCGCUCUAAGCGAGCGGGAGCAUGACAUGCCCUCGCUUAAAUGGACCGCAUUCAAAAGCAUUACAUGCACAUAGGGAUAGUUUUUAUCUUUUGUUUUCUCUUUUCUCUUUUAUUUUACUUUAAUAUCACAUGUAUCUUUAAAAAUGUUAGACAUUUAUAAAAUAUAUUCACGUAUUAAAAAAAUCAAAAUAUUUAAAAGAGAGUUCAUAGAUAUUUUUAAGAAAUAAUUGAUUUUUUAAAAUGUUCAACGAUUUUUAAAAAGUUUCACAUUUUCAAAAAUAUCCACAUAUUUUUCACGUAAUUCAAAAAUUGCUCAUGUAUUUGAGAAAGUAAUAUUCCGACAAUUCAAAAAGUGUUCUCAUAUUUACAAAACAUGUUUGCAAUUUUUUAAGAAUAUGUACAUAAAAUUUGCACAAUAUUCAUGAAGUAUUAAAAAUUGUUUGUGCAAUUUAAAAAGUGAUAAGCCAAUUUUGAAAAAAGCGUUGGGUAUUUGGGAAAAAUAGUUAUGUACUCCCUCCAUUCCAAAUUACUCGUCGUAGAAAUGGAUGUAUCUAGAACUAAAAUACAUCUAGAUACAUCCAUACCUGCGACAAGUAAUUCAGAACGGAGGGAGUAUUAUUUAAGAGGAUUUGUUUUUCUAUCCGAAACACUAAUAAGAACAAAUAAAAAGGAAACAAGAAAAGAUAAGACACGAAAAAAAGAGAAAGGACGAAAAUAAAGAACUGGAAACUGGCAACCAGAUAAGGCGUGCUUCCAAAAAUACCUGCACAAAAAUCCGACUAUAACCGCUGGCUAAAAAAAUUGAAAAAGCUGCCUCUGAAUUGCACCCCUAUUGGAGUGUGGGCGGACACCUACUAUAUGCGGCAUAUAUUCGGCGCAUAGUAGAUGCUUUCAAAAAGCAGGGUUGCUCGUAAUUAAUUGGAGUUAGUUAAUACAUAACACCCCUCCCUAAUCAUUGUUCCUCCUUGUGAUCAUACAUCAUCUUGCUUAAAGUCUACUCCAAAUACCCUUUGGAGGAAAUAUGAGGAUAUAUGUAAUUUUCCAUGAAAACUCCUUAAAAAACCAAUGAAGAAAUAGGAAAAAAUGACAUAUUAUGCGUAAUGCUUGUAUUAUUAUUGCCUUAUUUAAAAUCCUAUAUGGAAAACCGUUUAAUAAAGAAAAACAUAAAGAAAAAGAGUGCAAUAUCAAAGAUCUCAGGAUCUCAAACAAGUUACCAUUCAGGAGUGCCCCCUUAAAUCUUGCAAAUCACGAAGUUGUCGCAUACCGAUUCCAUUAACUUACUACUGAAAUGAUGAAUUUGGCAAGGACAGUGGAAACAAAUCACUCAUAACUCAUAAUUAUAGGAGAUCGUUUGUAUCCUUUUUUGAUAAGUAAGAGUAUGAGCCAAAGGAGGAGCUAAAGGUAGAAUUUAUAUUCUCUUCAAGUUCUAUCGACCACCGAUACAACUCUAUUGUUGGGGAACAUAGUAAUUUAACAAAUUUUCUACGCACAUGCAAGAUCAUGGUGAUGCAUAGCAACGAGAGGGGAGAGUGUUGUCCACGUACCCUCGUAGACCGUAAGCGGAAGCGUUAUGACAAUGCGGUUGAUGUAGUCGUACGUCCUCACGUCGACCGAUCCUAGUACUGAAAGUAUGACACCUCCUUCGGCUCGUUGACGUCCCACGAACUCACGAUCCAGCAGAGUGUCGAGGGAGAGCUUCGUCAGCACGACGGCGUGAUGACGGUGAUGAUGAAGCUACCGGCGCAGGGCUUCGCCUAAGCACUGCAACGAUAUGACCGAGGUGGAUUAUGAUGGAGGGGGGCACCGCACACGGCUAAGAGAUCAAUGAUCAACUUGUGUGUCUAUGGGGUGCCCCCUGGCCACGUAUAUAAAGGAUGUUGGGAGGAGGAGGCCGGCCCUCAUAGGGCGCGCCCAAAGUGUGGAGUCCUACUAGGACUCCCUAAUCCUAGUAGGAUUCCACCUCCCACAUAGGGCGCGCCCAAAGGGGAAGGGAGAAGGAGAAGGAAGGAAGGGGGCGGCCCCCUUCCCUAGUCCAAUUCGGACCAGUCCAUGGGGAAGGGGCGCAGCCAACCUUGAGGCCUUUCUCUCCUUUCCCGUAUGGCCCAUUAAGGCCCAAUAUGAAUUCCCGUAACUCUCCGGUACUCCGAAAAAUACCCGAAUCACUCGGAACCUUUCCGAUGUCCGAAUAUAGCCUUCCAAUAUAUCGAUCUUUACGUCUUGACCAUUUCGAGACUCCUCGUCAUGUCCCCCAUCUCAUCCGGGACUCCGAAAAAACUCCGGUCAUCAAAUCACAUAACUCAUAAUACAAAUCGUCAUCGAACGUUAAGCGUGCGGACCCUACGGGUUCGAGAACUAUGUAGACAUGACCGAGACACAUCUCCGGUCAAUAACCAAUAGCGGAACCUGGAUGCUCAUAUUGGCUCCUACAUAUUCUACGAAGAUCUUUAUCGGUCAAACCGCAUAACAUACGUUGUUCCCUUUGUCAUCGGUAUGUUACUUGCCCGAGAUUCGAUCGUCGGUAUCCUCAUACCUAGUUCAAUCUCGUUACCGGCAAGUCUCUUUACUCGUUCCGUAAUGCAUCAUCCCGCAACUAACUCAUUAGUCACAAUGCUUGCAAGGCUUAUAGUGAUGUGCAUCACCGAGAGGGCCCAGAGAUGCCUCUCUGAUACACGGAGGCAAAUCCUAAUCUCGAUCUAUGCCAACUCAACAAACACCAUCAGAGACACCUGUAGAGCAUCUUUAUAAUCACCCAGUUACGUUGUGAUGUUUGAUAGCACACAAGGUGUUCCUCCGGUAUUCGGGAGUUGCAUAAUCUCAUAGUCUGAGGAACAUGUGUAAGUCAUGAAGAAAGCAGUAGCAAUGAAACUGUAACGAUCAUAAUGCUAAGCUAACAAAUGGGUCUUGUCCAUCACAUCAUUCUCCUAAUUAUGUGAUCUCGUUCAUCAAAUGACAACACAUGUCUAUGGUUAGGAAACAUAACCAUCUUUGAUAAACGAGCUAGUCAAGUAGAGGCAUACUAGGGACACUUUGUUUUGUCUAUGUAUUCGCACAUGUACUAAGUUUCCGGUUAAUACAAUUCUAGCAUGAAUAAUAAACAUUUAUCAUGAAAUAAGUCAAUAAAUAAUAACUUUAUUAUUGCCUCUAGGGCAUAUUUACUUCAGUCUCCCACUUGCACAAGAGUCAAUAAUCUAGCUCACAUCGCCAUGUGAUUUAGCACCAAUAGUUCACAUCACCAUGUGAUUAACACCCAUAGUUCACAUCGCCAUGUGACCAACACUCAAAGGGUUUACUAGAGUCAGUAAUCUUAGUUUACAUCGCCAUGUGAUUAACACCCAAAGAGUACUAAGGUGUGAUCAUGUUUUGCUUGUGAGAGAAGUUUAGUCAACGGGUCUGCCAUAUUCAGAUCCGUAUGUAUUUUGCAAAUUUCUAUGUCAGCAAUGCUCUGCACGGAGCUACUCUAGCUAAUUGCUCCCACUUUCAAUAUGUAUCCAGAUUGAGACUUAGAGUCAUCUGGAUCAGUGUCAAAACUUGCAUCGACGUAACCCUUUAUGACGAACCUUUUGUCACCUCCAUAAUCGAGAAACAUAUCCUUAUUCCACUAAGGAUAAUUUUGACCGUUGUCCAGUGAUCUACUCCUAGAUCACUAUUGUAGUCCCUUGCCAAACUCAGUGUAGGGUAUACAAUAGAUCUGGUACACAACAUGGCAUACUUUUUAGAACCUAUGGCUGAGGCAUAGGGAAUGACUUUCAUUCUCUUUCUAUCUUCUGCCGUGGUCGGGCUUUGAGUCUUACUCAAUUUCACACCUUGCAAUACAGGCAAGAACUCCUUCUUUGACUGUUCCAUUUUGAACUACUUCAAAAAUUUGUCAAGGUAUGUACUCAUUAAAAGAACUUAUCAAGCGUCUUGAUCUAUCUCUAUAGAUCUUGAUGCUCCAUAUGUCAGCAGCUUCAUCGAGGUCUUUCUUUGAAAAACUCCUUUCAAAACACUCCUUUUAUGCUUUCCAGAAAAUUCUACAUCAUUUCCGAUCAACAAUAUUGUCAUUCACAUAUACUUAUCAGAAAGGUUGUAGUGCUCCCACUCACUUUCUUGUAAAUACAGGCUUCAUCGCAAGUCUGUAUAAAACUAUAUGCUUUGAUCACACUAUCAAAACGUUUAUUCCAACUCUGAGAUGUUUGCACCAUUCCAUAAAUGGAUCGCUGGAGCUUGCACACUUUGUUAGCAUCCUUUGGAUCGAUAAAACCUUCAGGUUGCAUCAUAUACAAUUCUUCUUCCAGAAAUCCAUUCAGGAAUCCAGUCUUUAUAUCCAUUUGCCAAAUUUCAUAAUCAUAAAAUGCAACAAUUGCUAACAUGAUUCGGACGGACUUAAGCAUCGCUAUGGGUGAGAAGGUCUCAUCGUAGUCAACUCCUUGAACUUGUCGAAAACCUUUCGCAACAAGUCGAGCUUUGUAGACAGUAACAUUACCGUCAGCGUCAGUCUUCUUCUUGAAGAUCCAUUUAUUCUCGAUGGCUUGCCGAUCAUCGGGCAAGUCAGCCAAAGUUCACACAUUGUUCUCAUACAUGGAUCCCAUCUCAGAUUUCAUGGCCUCAAGCCAUUUCACGGAAUUUGGGCUCAGCAUCGCUUCCUCAUAGUUCGUAGGUUCGUCAUGGUCAAGUAACAUGACCUCCAGAACAGGAUUACCGUACUACUCUAGUGCGGAUCUUACUCUGGUUAACCUACGAGGUUCGGUAGUAACUUGAUAUGAAGUUACAUGAUCAUCAUUAUUAGCUUCCUCACUAAUUGGUGUAGGAGUCACAGGAACAGAUUUCUGUGAUGAACUACUUUCCAAUAAGGGAGCAGGUACAAUUACCUCAUCAAGUUCUACUUUCCUCCCACUCACUUCUUUCGAGAGAAACUCCUUCUCUAGAAAGGAUCCAUUCUUAGCAACAAAUGUCUUGCCUUCGGAUCUGUGAUAGAAGGUGUACUCAACAGUCUCCUUUGGGUAUCCUAUGAAGACACAUUUCUCCGAUUUGGGUUCGAGCUUAUCAGGUUGAAGCUUUUUCACAUAAGCAUCGCAGCCCCAAACUUUAAGAAACAACAACUUGGUUUUUUUGCCAAACCACAGUUCAUAAGGUGUCGUCUCAACGGAUUUAGAUGGUGCCCUAUUUAACGUGAAUGUAGCCGUCUCUAAUGCAUAGCCCCAGAACGAUAGUGGUAAAUCGGUAAGAAACAUCAUAGAUUGCACUAUAUCUAAUAAAGUACGGUUAUGACGUUCGGACACACUAUUAUGCUGUGGUGUUCCAGGUGGCAUGAGUUUGUGAAACUUAUUCCACAUUGUUUUAAUUGAAGACCAAACUCGUAACUCAAAUAUUCGUCUCCGCGAUUAGAUCGUAGAAACUUUAUUUUCCUGUUAUGAUGAUUUUCCACUUCACUCUGAAAUUCUUUGAACUUUUCAAAUGUUUCAGACUUAUGUUUCAUCAAGUAGAUAUACCCAUAUCUGCUCAAAUCAUCUGUGAAGGUCAGAAAAUAACGAUACCCGCCGCGAGCCUCAAUACUCAUCGGAUCACAUACAUCAGUAUGUAUUAUUUCCAAUAAGUCAGUUGCUCGCUCCAUUGUUCUGGAGAACGGAGUCUUAGUCAUCUUGCCCAUGAGGCAUGGUUUGCAAGCAUCAAGUGAUUCAUAAUCAAGUGAUUCAAAAAGACGAUCAGCAUGGAGUUUCUUCAUGCGCUUUACACCAAUAUGACCUAAACGGCAGUGCCACAAAUAUGUUGCACUAUCAUUAUCAACUUUGCAUCCUUUGGCGUCAAUAUUAUGGAUAUGUGUAUUACUACGAUCGAGAUUCAAUAAACCAUUCACCUUGGGUGUAUGAGCACAGAAGGUUUUAUUCAUGUAAACAGAAUAACAAUUAUUCUUUGACUUAAAUGAAUAACCGUAUUGCAAUAAACAUGAUCCAAUCAUAUUAUGCUCAACGCAAACACCAAAUAACAUUUAUUUUAGGUUCAACACUAAUCCCGAAAGUAUAGGGAGUGUGCGAUGAUGAUCAUAUCAAUCUUGGAACCACUUCCAACACAUAUCGUCACUUCACCCUUAACUAGUCUUUGUUCAUUCUGCAACUCCUGUUUCGAGUUACUAAUCUUAGCAACUGAACUAGUAUCAAAUACUGAGGGGUUGCUAUAAACACUAGUAAAGUACACAUCAAUAACAUGUAUAUCAAAUAUACCUUUGUUCACUUUGCCAUCCUUCUUAUCCGCCAAAUACUUGGGGCAGUUCUGCUUCCAGUGACCAGUCCCUUUGCAGUAGAAGCACUUCGUCUCAGGCUUAGGUCCAGACUUGGGCUUCUUCACUUGAGCAGCAACUUGCUUGCCGUUCUUCUUGAAGUUCCCCUUCUUCCCUUUGCCCUUUUCUUGAAACUAGUGGUCUUGUCAACCAUCAACACUUGAUGCUUUUCUUGAUUUCUACCUUCGUCGAUUUCAGCAUCACGAAGAGCUUGGGAAUUGUUUCCGUUAUCCCUUGCAUAUUAUAGUUCAUCACGAAGUUCUAGUAACUUGGUGAUAGUGACUAGAGAACUCUGUCAAUCACUAUCUUAUCUAGAAGAUUAACUCCCACUUGAUUCAGGUGAUUGUAGUACUCAGACAUUCCGAGUACAUGCUCACUAGCCGAGCUAUUCUCCUCCAUCUUGUAGGCAAAGUACUUGUCAAAGGUCUCAUACCUUUCGACAUGGGCAUGAGUCUGAAAUAUUAAUUUCAACUCUUGGAACAUCUCAUAUCCUCUGUGGCGUUCAAAACGUCUUUGAAGCCCCGAUUCUAAGCCGUAAAGCAUGGUGCACUAAACUAUCAAGUAGUCAUCAUAUCGAGCUUGCCAAACAUUCAUAACGUCUGCAUCUGCUCCUGCAAUCGGUCUAUCACCUAGCGGUGCAUCAAGGACAUAAUUCUUCUGUGCAGCAAUUGUGACGCCCGGAUAAUUAAGCUACAGUGAACCUUUGCUAAUGAUGCCAUGUCACCUCGAUUACUGUUGCUAAUCUCGCGUUAGUUCGAAAUCGGUUCGAAUUCAAAUUCAAAAUCAAGCAAACAAUAAAAGUUUUCAAAAAUUAAAAACUAAAAUGUUCGAAGUGAGAAAAAUAAUGCAUAAGUAAUUAUGGUUUAGAAAUCACAGUUUUAUAAAAUGUUUAAAUGCUCAAAUGGGAAUGAAACAACAACAUAACCAAUUUAAUAAAUGCCUUUUGUUAAUUAUAAAAUGUUAAAGUAUUUUAUUUAGAGGUUUAAACUUUAGUAAUAGAGGUAUAAUUAGUAAUACUGAUUUUGGUACUACUUUUAUGUUUUUAUAAAACUUAGAUAAGAUGAGACUAAAAAUAAAACUGUAAAGGUAAAAUAAGUAAAAAGAAAAGAACAAAACAAAGAACAAAAUAAAAGAAAAGGACCCCCUUGGCCAACUGGGCCAGACGGCCCAGCCGGCCAGCCCACCAACCGGCCCAACCCCGUCCAUAACCCCACCAGGGGGGAAACCCUAACCACCCCCGACCGCACACUUUCCCCCACUCCCCACGACUCUCCUCUCCCCCUCUCGCGACGCCAGCGCCCCAACCCCGUUGCCGGACUCCCCCAUCGCCACGACACCCAGCGCUCACCGUCGCCCGGGACCACCUCGCCGGACGCCAUCGUCUUCGUCCUCUCCGUCGGCGAACCGCCCUGACCUCGUCACCUCGUCCUCGUCAUCGCUCGCUGUCGUCCCCGUCUUCCUCCCCGCGCCCCACUGCCCAUUCCCUACGGCCAUCGUGAGCCCCUCCUCUCUCCCCCGCGCCCAUAGCUCGCCCUCUCCGGCGACCGUCACACGCGCGCCCCACUCACUUGCCACACCGCCGUCCGCCUUGUCCGGACCUCGCUCCACGCGUGCUCGCUUGUGCCGUCUACCCGCGCCCUGCCUUGCUGAGGCCUCAUUGGCCUCGUCCCGGCUGCGCCCUGUGCGUGCGCCGCCCGCGCCUUGCCUCCCGCAUGCGUGCUGCUGCUUCUGCCGCGCGCCCGCCUGCCUUUGGCCGCGGCCGCCCUUGCCGUCCGCACGCCCAGCUACCUCCCUUGCCGCGUCUGUCGCCGCUCGCCUCAUCGCCUGCCUCGCUCACAACCGCCCGUGCCUCCCGCUCGCCGCCCCCGGCGCCCAUCCGUGCCUGCCCCGCCACUGCUCCCCUGCCCCUACCCUGCAGCGGAUGCUGCCCGUUGCUGCUGCGGCUACCGCAGCCCCUGCCGUCGCCCGCUCCCGCCCAGUCCCCUCCUCGUCCGGCGCCGUUGGCCUCGCUCGAGCCGGCGCCCGGGUUCACCCCUGUCGGGCGCCCACGCGCCCGUUGCCGGUAGCGCCCGCACCCGCUUGGCCUAUGGGCCUAUGGCAAACGGGGCCCAGCCCCUAGAACGUUUUAUUAAAAUAAGGAAUUAAAAAUAAAUAAAUAAAUAAAUAUUAAUUAAAAUAUUAAUUAAUUAAUUAACUUAAUUAAUCUUGAUUAGAUUAACCUAAUCACUAGUUAACUUAAUUAACCCCUGAUUAGCCUCAUCAGUCAAUGACAUGCGGACCCCACACGUCAGUUUGACCAGUCAACACCUCUGUUGACUGCUGACGUCAUGCUGAUGCAAUAAUGCUAAUUUUGAAUUAAUUUAAUAAUAAUAAAUUAGAAAAUGAUUUAAAACUUAAUUUUUUUCAUAAAAUAAUCUGUAGCUCGGAUGAAAAUACUUUGUACAUGAAAGUUGCUUAGAACGAUGAGACGAAUCCGAAUACGUAGCCCGUUCGUCCACCACACGUCCCUAGCAUAGCAAACACACAACUUUCCUCCUCCGGUUCAUCUGUCCGAAAACACGAAACACCGGGAAUACUUUCCCGGAUGUUUCCCCCCUUCGUCGGUAUCACCUCAUACCACGUUAGGGCACACCUAGCACCGCUGUUUGCUUUGUCAUGCAUCUGUUUGCAAUGUAUUUAUUGUUUCUUCCCCCUCUUCUUCUCCGGUAGACCCCGAGACCGAUGCUGAUGCCUAGAUCGACUACGGUGUUGACGACCCCUCCUUCUCGGCUGAGCUUCCAGGCAAGCCCCCCCCGCUUGAUCACCCGAUAUCGCUUAUUCCUUCUCUCUACCGCUCGCAUUAGAGUAGUGUAGCAUGUUACUGCUUUCGGUUAAUCCUAUUCUGCUGCAUAGCCUGUCAUUGUUGCUACAGUUGUUACCCUUACAUGCAAUCCUAAAUGCUUAGUAUAGGAUGCUAGUUUUCCAUCAGUGGCCCUACAUUCUUGUCCGUCUACCAUGCUAUACUAUCGGGCCGUGAUCACAUGGGAGGUGAUCACGGGUAUAUAAUUACAUACAUAUUAUAUGAUACAUGUGGUGACUAAAGUCGGGUCGGCUCGUAGAGUACCCGCAAGUGAUUUUGAUGUGGGGGCUGAAAGGUCAGGUGGUUCCAUCCAGGUAGUGGUGGGCCUGGGUUCCCGACGGCCCUCGACUGUUACUUUGUGGCGGAGCGACAGGGCAGGUUGAGACCACCUAGGUGAGAGGUGGGCCUGGCCCUGGUCGGCGUCCGCGGUUACAUCAUAAUAACACGCUUAACGAGAUCUUGGUAUUUGAUCUGAGUUGGGUCGCUGACCUUAUACGCACUAACCGCCACGUGGGACAAGAUAUGGGCAACCGGCGUCGUGGUAUCAGCCGAAGCUCUUUUUGACGUCAUCGACUGAGCGGCGCGCGCCGCAUUGGACCGUAAGCCCGCGCUUGUAUUAAGGGGGCUAGGUCUGCUUCCGGCUGCGUAAGCAACAUGCAGGUGUGCAAUGGGCAAUGGGCCCAGACCCCUGCGCGCAUAGGAUUUAGACCGGCGUGCUGACCUCUCUGUUGAGCCUUGAUGACCCACAAGUAUAGGGGAUCUAUCGUAGUCCUUUCGAUAAGUAAGAGUGUCGAACCCAACGAGGAGCAGAAGGAAAUGAUAAGCGGUUUUCAGCAAGGUAUUCUCUGCAAGCACUGAAAUUAUAGGUAACAGAUAGUUUUGUGAUAGGAUAAUUUGUAACGAGCAACAAGUAACAAAAGUAAAUAGAGUGCAGCAAGGUGGACCAAUCCUUUUUGUAGCAAAGGACAAGCCUGGACAAACUCUUAUAUAGAGAAAAGCGCUCCUGAGGACACAUGGGAAUUAUCGUCAAGCUAGUUUUCAUCACGUUCAUAUGAUUCGCGUUCGGUACUUUGAUAAUUUGAUAUGUGGGUGGACCGGUGCUUGGGUGCUGUCCUUACUUGAACAAGCACCCCACUUAUGAUUAACCUCUAUUGCAAGCAUCCGCAACUACAACAAAAGUAUUAAGGUAAACCUAACCAUAGCAUGAAACAUAUGGAUCCAAAUCAGCCCCUUACGAAGCAACGCAUAAACUAGGGUUUAAGCUUCUGUCACUCUAGCAACCCAUCAUCUACUUAUUACUUCCCAAUGCCUUCCUCUAGGCCCAAAUAAUGGUGAAGUGUCAUAUAGUCGACGUUCACAUAACACCACUAGAGGAUAGACAACAUACAUCUCAUCAAAAUAUCGAACGAAUACCAAAUUCACAUGACUACUAAUAGCAAGACUUCUCCCAUGUCCUCGGGAACAAACGUAACUACUCACAAAGCAUAUUCAUGUUCAUAAUCAGAGGAGUAUUAAUGCGCAUAUAGGAUCUGAACAUACGAUCUUCCACCAAAUAAACCAACUAGCAUCAACUACAAGGAGUAAUCAACACUACUAGCAACCUACAAGUACCAAUCCCAGACUUAGAGACAAUAAUUGGAUACAAGAGAUGAACUAGGGUUUGAGAGGAGAUGGUGCUGGUGAAGAUGUUGAUGGAGAUUGCCCUCUACCGAUGAGAGGAGCGUUGGUGAUGACGAUGGCGAUGAUUUUCCCCCUCCUGGAGGGAAGUGUCCCCGGCAGAACAGCUCUGCCGGAGCCCUAGAUUGGUUCCGCCUCGUGGCGGCGGAGUCUCAUCCCGAAAGCUUGCUUAUGAUUUUUCUUCAGACGAAAGACUUCAUAUAGCAGAAGAUGGGCACCGGAGGGCCAACAGGGGGCCCACGAGGCAGGGGGCGCGCCCAGGGGGGUAGGGCGCGCCCCACCCUCGUGGACAGGUGGAGGCCCCCCUGACGUAUUUCUUCCGCUCAAUAUUUUUUAUUAUUUCCAAAAAUAACUUUCGUGGAGUUUCAGGACUUUUGGAGUUGUGAAGAAUAGGUCUCUAAUAUUUGCUCCUUUUCCAGCCCAGAAUUCCAGCUGCCGGCAUUCUCCCUCCUUAUGUAAACCUUGUAAAAUAAGAGAGAAUAGGCAUAAGUAUUGUGACAUAAUGUGUAAUUACAACCCAUAAUGCAAUAAAUAUCGAUAUAAAAGCAUGAUGCAAAAUGGACGUAUCAACUCCCCCAAGCUUAGACCUCGCUUGUCCUCAAGCGAAAGCUGAUAACGAUAAAUAUGUCCACAUGUUUAGAGGUAGAGGUGUCGAUAAAAUAAAAUACGGACAUGAGGGCAUCAUGAUUGUUCUCAUAACAGCAACAUAUAUGGAUAAUGUCAUAUGAUUUCUUAUUCUCAAGUAAUAAUCUAUUCACAAUGCAAAGUAUGAAUCAGAAACUUUAUUGAGAACUAACAAACUAUAAUCUCAGUCAUUGAGGCAAUUGCAAUUUAUCAUAACAUCAGAAAGAGUCUAUGUAAGAGCUUUCUAGCAAGUCCACAUACUCAACUAUCAUUUAGUCUUUCAUAAUUGCUAACACUCACGCAAUACUUGUGGUUACGGAGUUUUAAUCGGACACAGAGAAAGAUAGGGGCUUAUAGUUUCGCCUCCCAACCUUUUACCUCAAGGGUAAUUUUAACAAUAAUAACUCAUGCUAACUUACAUCCAAUUAGAUAUAUAUAUAUCUGGAUCUUUCCAACACACUGUGCUUGCCAAAGGAUAAAAUGUAAAAAGGAACGGUGAAGAUCACCAUGACUCUUGCAUAAGGUAGAAGGUAAUAAUAAAACAUAGGCCCUUCGCAGAGGGAAGCAGAGGUUGCCAUGCGCUUUCAGAGUUGGAUGCACAAAAUCUUAAUGCGAAAGAACGUCACUUUAUAUUGCCACUUGUGAUAUGAACCUUUAUUAUGCAGUCUGUCGCUUUUAUUUCUUCCACAUCACAAGAUCGUAUAAAGCUUAUUUCCUCCACACCAAUCAAUCAUACAUAUUUAGAGAGCAAUUUUUAUUGCUUGCACCGAUGACAACUUACUUGAAGGAUCUUACUCAAUCCAUAGGUAGAUAUGGUGGACUCUCAUGGCAAAACUGGGUUUAAGGGUAUUUGGAAGCACAAGUAGUAUCUCUACUUGGUGCAAAGAAUUUGUCUAGCAUGAGGGGGAAAGGCAAGCUCAACAUGUUGGAUGAUCCAUGACAAUAUACUUUAUCUCAGAUAUAAGAAAACAUAACCCAUUACGUUGUCUUCCUUGUCCAACAUCAACUCUUUAGCAUGUCAUAUUUUAAUGAGUGCUCCCAAUCAUAAAAGAUGUCCAUGAUAGUAUAUUUAUAUGUGAAACCUCUCUUUCUUUAUUACUUCCUAUUAAUUGCAACGAUGACCAAAGCUAUGUUUGCCAACUCUCAACAAUUUUUAAUCAUCAUACUCUUACUAUGUGAAGUCAUUACUCUCAAUAAGAUCAUAUGAUCUCUUUGUUUCUUUUUAUUCUUUUCUCUUUUCUUUUAUUCAUCAAGAUCAUAGCAAGAUAAUCAAGCCCUUGACUCAACACUAAUCUUUAUUAAAUAUAGCUCAUGGACUCGAUUACAUAGAGGGAUCAUAAAGCAAAACUCAAAACUAGAUCAUACCAAAACUUUAUUCUACUAGAUCAAGAUACUACUAAAAGGAUCGAACUAAGAAAAAGGGUAAAGAUAGGAGAUGUGAUUGUGAUACGAUACCGGGGCAUCUCCCCAAGCUUGGCAGUUGCCAAGGGGAGUGCCCAUACCCAUGUGAUUAUGUCUCCUUCUUCGGGGAUGGUGAUGUGAUCUUCUUGGCGAUAAUGCCCCUCAGGAUACGAUUCUCGUCCUCGAGCUUAUUGAGUUGUUGCUUCAGAUCCAUUAUCUCCUUACGAAGCUUCCCUGUAACAGCUAAAGCUCCUUGCACCCAAGGGUGUUGCAUAGCUGCGGGAGAACAAGUGACACUCUUCUUCAUAUUUUCAUAAGAAAGAAAUCUAACAUUGGAAGGGAUAACCGAGUUUGGAAUAGCUGAGCUCUGUAGUCCCCCCAUCGUGAAUCCAGUCCGGAAGCGAGAAGUGACUUCUUGAUCCUCCUCCAUGGCAUCUAUCCUCAUAAAAUCAGCCUCCAUCUCUUCCUCCGUUGCUGGCCCAAAGUGGUCAGCAUCGCUGUUUGUCCUUGGUCCCGAUGCCGGAUGAGACACCCGGCUCUCCCCGACUGACUCUUGAGAAGACAUCUUGCUCUAAUCUGCCAGCAACAACUCGAAACAAGAACAGAAGACAAUUGCGUGAUACGGUGGUCAAAACCUUCGGGAGAUUAUAUAAUGAAUUUUUACCGACCAAAAUACGUAUCCUGCAAGAAAACGGAGUCCGGAGAGCGCACGAGGUGCCCACGAGGCAGGGGGGCGCGCCCAGGGGGGCAGGGCGCGCCCUCCACCCUUGUGGAGGCCUCGUGUCCUUCCCGGACUGCUUCUUAUUUUUCUAUUUUUCUAAAUAUUCCAAAACGGAGAAAAAUUGCCUUUAGAACUGUUUUGGAGUCGGUUUACUUACCGUACCACAUACCUAUUCCUUUUUCAGAGUCUGAAACAUUCCGGAUAGUGUCCCUUAUGUAUUCCUCCGGGGUUACGGUUUCAAUAACAUUGGUUUCAACAUUUAUAGGAUUACCUGAGAUAUAGUGUUUAAUUCUUUGACCGUUCACCACCUUCGGAUUUGUGCCUUCGAAGUUAUUGAUUUUUAUGGCACCGGAACAAUAGACCUCAUCGAUAACGUAAGGGCCUUCCCAUUUAGAGAGAAGUUUCCUGCAAAAAAUCUUAAACGAGAGUUGUAUAGCAAUACAUAAUCACCUACAUUAAACUCACGCUUUUGUAUCCUUUUGUCAUGCCAUCUUUUAACUUUUUCUUUAAACAAUUUGGCAUUUUCAUAGGCUUGGGUUCUCCAUUCAUCAAGUGAGCUAAUGUCAAAUAACCUCUUCUCACCGGCAUGUUUGAAAUCAUAGUUGAGCUCUUUAAUAGCCCAAUAAGCCUUAUGUUCUAUUUCGAGAGGUAAGUGACAUGCUUUUCCAUAAACCAUUUUAUACGGAGACAUACCCAUAGGAUUUUUAUAUGUAGUUCUAUAAGCCAAUAAUGCAUCAUCCAGUUUCUUGGACCAAUUCUUUCUAGAUCUAUUAACAGUCUUUUGCAAAAUUAAUUUGAGCUCUCUAUUACUCAAUUCUACUUGACCACUAGACUGUGGGUGAUAAGGAGAUGCAAUUCUAUGAUUAACAUCAUAUUUAGCAAGCAUUUUUCGGAAAGCACCAUGAAUAAAAUGUGAACCACCAUCAGUCAUUAAAUAUCUAGGGACUCCAAACCUCGGAAAAAUAACUUCUUUAAGCAUUUUAAUAGAAGUGUUAUGAUCAGCACUACUAGUUGGAAUUGCUUCUACCCACUUAGUAACGUAAUCAACAGCAACUAAAAUAUGUGUGUAUCCAUUAGAGGCAGAAAAAGGUCCCAUAUAAUCAAAGCCCCAAACAUCAAAUGGUUCAAUAACAAGUGAAUAAUUCAUAGGCAUUUCUUGACGUCUACUAAUAUUACCAAUUCUUUGACAUUCAUCACAAGAUAAGACAAACUUACGGGCAUCCUUGAAGAGAGUAGGCCAAUAAAAACCGGAUUGCAAUACCUUAUGUGCAGUUCUAUCUCUAGCGUGGUGUCCUCCAUAAGCCUCGGAGUGACACUUGCGUAGGAUCUGUUCCUGUUCAUGCUCAGGUACACAACGUCUAGUAACACCAUCUACUCCUUCUUUAUAAAGAUGUGGGUCAUCCCAAAAGUAAUGUCUUAAAUCAUAGAAAAACUUUUUCUUUUGUUGGUAUGUGAAACUAGGUGGUAUGAAUUUAGCAAUGAUGUAAUUAGCAUAAUUAGCAUACCAUGGAGUAGUAUGAGAGGCAUUUAUGACAUUUAAUUGUUCAUCAGGAAAGCUAUCAUCAAUAGGUAGUGGGUCAUCAAGAACAUUUUCUAACCUAGACAAGUUGUCUGCAACGGGGUUCUCGGCUCCCUUUCUAUCAAUAAUAUGCAAAUUGAAUUCUUGUAGCAAGAGAACCCAUCUAAUAAGUCUAGGUUUAGCAUCUUUCUUUUCCAUAAGAUAUUUAAUAGCAGCAUGAUCAGUGUGAAUAAUUACUUUAGAAUCAACAAUAUAAGGUCUAAACUUAUCACAAGCAAAUACGACUGCUAAGAAUUCCUCUUCAGUAGUAGCAUAAUUCCUCUGAGCAUUGUCUAGAGUUUUACUAGCAUAUUGAAUAACAUUUAAUUUCUUAUCAACUCUUUGCCCUAGAACAACACCUAUAGCAUAAUCACUAGCAUCACACAUAAUUUCAAAAGGUAAAUUCCAAUCAGGUGGCUGAACAAUAGGUGCAGAGAUCAAUGCUUUCUUAAGUAUUUCAAAUGCUUCUACACAAUCAUCAGCAAAAACAAAUGGUAUAUCUUUUUGUAAUAAAUUAGUCAGAGGCCGAGAAAUUUUUGAGAAGUCCUUAAUGAACCUCCUAUAUAAUCCGGCGUGACCAAGGAAACUUCUUAUACCUUUGAUGUCCUUGGGACAUGGCAUCUUUUCAAUAGCAUCAACCUUGGCUUUAUCAACCUCAAUACCUCUUUUAGAAACUUUAUGCCCCAAGACAAUACCUUCAUUAACCAUAAAGUGGCACUUUUCCCAAUUCAAGACAAGAUUAGUUUCUUCACAUCUCUGUAAAACUCGAUGAAGGUUGCUUAAGCAAUCAUCAAAAGAGGAUCCAUAGACGGAGAAGUCGUCCAUGAAAACCUCACAUAUCUUUUCACAAAAGUCAGAAAAUGUAGCCAUCAUGCAUCUUUGAAAGGUAGCAGGUGCAUUACAUAAACCAAAAGGCAAACGUCUAUAAGAAAAAGUACCAAAAGGGCAAGUAAACGUGGUCUUUGAUUGAUCAUCGGCCGACACAGGUAUUUGAGGGAAACCAGAGUAACCAUAUAGAAAGCAAAAAUGUGUAUGUUUGGAUAAUCUUUCUAGCAUUUGAUCAAUAAAAGGUAAGGGGUAAUGAUCCUUUUUAGUAGCCUUAUUUAAUUUGCGGAAAUCAAUUACCAUCCUAUAACCUGUAAUAAUUCUUUGUGGGAUCAAUUCAUCUUUAUCAUUAGGAACGACGGUAAUACCUCCCUUAUUAGGGACACAAUGGACAGGACUUACCCACUGACUAUCAGCAACGGGAUAAAUUAUACCUGCCUAAAGGAGCUUUAGUAUUUCCUUUCUUACCACUUCUUUCAUUUUAGGAUUCAGUCGUCGUUGGUGAUCACGAACUGGUUUGGCAUCUUUCUCCAAAUUUAUUUUGUGUUGACAUAGAGUGGGACUAAUGCCCUUAAGAUCAUCAAGAGUAUAUCCAAUAGCAGCACGGUGCUUCUUCAGAGUUUUCAAUAAUCUCUCUUCUUCAUGCUCUGAAAGGUUAGCACUAAUAAUAACAUGAUAUAUCUUUUUCUCAUUAAAAUAAGCAUAUUUAAGAGUAUCAGGCAACGGUUUAAGCUCAAACACGGGAUCACCCUUGGGUGGAGGAGGAUCCCCUAGGAUUUCAACAGGUAAAUUGUGUUUCAGGAUGGGUUCCUGUUUAAAGAAUACUUCAUCUAUUUCCCUUCUUUCAUUCAUAAACAUAUCAUUUAUGGUCUAGCAAAUAUUGUUCUAAAGGAUCACUAGGAGGUACGUCAAUAGAAGCAAGACCAAUUAUUUCAUCCUUACUAGGCAAUUCCUCUUCACGGUGUUGCCUACAAAAUUUAGAAAAGUUGAACUCAUGAGACAUAUCACCUAAACCAAUAGUAACAACAUCCUUUUCGCGUCUAUCCUAGCAUUAACGGUGUUCAAGAAAGGUCUACCAAAUAUAAUGGGACAAAAGCUAUCUUGUGGGGAGCCAAGAACAAGAAAAUCAGCAGGAUAUUUAGUUUUCCCACACAAGACUUAAACAUCUCUAACAAUUCCCAUUGGUGAAAUAGUAUCUCUAUUGGCAAGUUUAAUUGUGACAUCAAUAUCUUCUAACUCAGUAGGUGCAAUAUCAUGCUUAAUUUCUUUGUAUAAGUCAAUAGGUAUUGCACUAGCACUAGCACCCAUAUCACACAAGCCAUGAUAACAGUGAUCCCCUACUUUAACAGAAAUAACAGGCAUGCCUACCACAGGUCUAUGUUUAUCUUUAGCAUAAGGUUUGGCAAUUCUAGCAGUUUCAUCACGGAAAUGAAUAACAUGCCCAUCAAUAUUAUCAGACAAGAGAUCUUUAACAAUAGCAAUAUUAGGUUCAACUUUAAUUUGCUCAGGAGGUGUAUAAGUUCUAAUAUUGCUUUUACGGACCACAGUUGAAGCUUUAGCAUGAUCCUUUAUCCUAACAGGGAAAGGUGGUUUCUCAACAUAAGAAGUAGGAACAAUAGGAUCAUUAUAAGUGAUAGUCUUUUCUUCAACUUUAACAGGUGCAAAUACUUUUACUUCUAUGGGAGGAUGAUAUUUAAACCACUUCUCCUUAGGGAGAUCAAUAUGAGCAGCAAAAGAUUCACAAAAGGAAGCUACUAUCUCAGAGUCAAGUCCAUACUUAGUGCUAAAUUUACGGAAAACAUCGGUAUCCGUAAAAGAUUUAACACAAUCAAACUUAGGUGUCAUACCUGACUCCUUACCUUCGUCGAGAUCCCAAUCUUCAGAGUUGCGUUUAAUUCUUUCCAAUAAAUUUGAAUUCAAUAGUCUUCAUAGUAAAAGAGCCAGCACAAGAAGUAUCGAGCAUGUGCGAUUGUUAUCAGAAAGUCGAGCAUAAAUUUUUUGAAUAAUCAUUUCUCUUGAGAGCUCAUGAUUGGGGCAUGAAUAUAACAUUGAUUUAAGCCUCCCCUAAGCUUGAGCGAUGCUUUCUCCUUCGUGAGGCCAAAAAUUAUAUAUAUAAUUGUGAUCACGAUGAACAAGAUGCAUAGGAUAAAAUUUCUGAUGAAAUUCCAAUUUCAAUCGUUUGUAGUUCCAUGAUCCCGUAUCAUCACAUAGCCUAUACCAUGUCAAUGCAUCUCCCUUCAAAGAUAAAGGGAAGACCUUCUUUUUAAUAGCAUCACCGGGUAUACCUGCAAGCUUAAAUAAUCCACAAACUUCAUCCACAUAGAUUAGGUGCUCAUCAGGAUGCUUUGUUCCGUCUCCUGCAAAAGGAUUAGCUAGCAGUUUUUCUAACAUACCCGAAGGAAUUUCAAAGUAGACAUUUUCAUUUUCAGUAGGUUCAGUCGGUUGAGGAGCAACUCUUUGCUCUACUGGUCGGGGUGAAGAUACCCCGAACAAGCCCCUCAGAGGAUUACUUUCCAUAGUAACAAGUGACAAUAAAUUUCAGCACACUAUAUAAAUUUUUCCUUACCAAAUUCCACCUACCAAAGGCGCUUCACUCCCCGGCAACGGCGCCGGAAAAGAGUCUUGAUGACCCACAAGUAUAGGGGAUCUAUCAUAGUCCUUUCGAUAAGUAAGAGUGUCGAACCCAACGAGGAGCAGAAGGAAAUGAUAAGCGGUUUUCAGCAAGGUAUUCUCUGCAAGCACUGAAAUUAUAGGUAACAGAUAGUUUUGUGAUAGGAUAAUUUGUAACGAGCAACAAGUAACAAAAGUAAAUAAAGUGCAGCAAGGUGGCCCAAUCCUUUUUGUAGCAAAGGAUAAGCCUGGACAAACUCUUAUAUAGAGAAAAGCGCUCUCGAGGACACAUGGGAAUUAUCGUCAAGCUAGUUUUCAUCACGUUCAUAUGAUUCGCGUUUGGUACUUUGAUAAUUUGAUAUGUGGGUGGACUGGUGCUUGGGUGCUGUCCUUACUUGAACAAGCAAACCACUUAUGAUUAACCUCUAUUGCAAGCAUCCGCAACUACAACAAAAGUAUUAAGGUAAACCUAACCAUAGCAUGAAACAUAUGGAUCCAAAUCAGCCCCUUACGAAGCAACGCAUAAACUAGGGUUUAAGCUUCUAUCACUCUAGCAACCCAUCAUCUACUUAUUACUUCCCAAUGCCUUCCUCUAGGCCCAAAUAAUGGUGAAGUGUCAUAUAGUCGAUGUUCACAUAACACCACUAGAGGAUAGACAACAUACAUCUCAUCAAAAUAUCGAACGAAUACCAAAUUCACAUGACUACUAAUAGCAAGACUUCUCCCAUGUCCUCAGCAACAAACGUAACUACUCACAAAGCAUAUUCAUGUUCAUAAUCAGAGGAGUAUUAAUGCGCAUAUAGGAUCUGAACAUAUGAUCUUCCACCAAAUAAACCAACUAGCAUCAACUACAAGGAGUAAUCAACACUACUAGCAACCUACAAGUACCAAUCCCAGACUUAGAGCCAAGAAUUGGAUACAAGAGAUGAACUAGGGUUUGAGAGGAGAUGGUGCUGGUGAAGAUGUCGAUGGAGAUUGCCCUCUCCUGAUGAGAGGAGCGUUGGUGAUGACGAUGGCGAUGAUUUCCCCCUCCCGGAGGGAAGUGUCCCCGGCAGAACAGCUCUGCCGGAGCCCUAGAUUGGUUCCGCCAAGGUUCCACCUCGUGGCGGCAGAGUCUCGUCCCGAAAGCUUGCUUAUGAUUUUUCUUUGGACGGAAGACUUCAUAUAGCAGAAGAUGG
rnacentral:lncRNA from 1 species